UCAAGAUUAUGGCAAUCCGACAGCUCAAGAUGUGUUAGAUCAUGAAGUUGACAACAAGAUUCUGGUAGUGAGUGGAGUUUGUAGCAAUCGGAUAGGUUCAAAAACUGAAGCUUAUGCAACUUGCCAAAGGAUUCUGGAAGGGUAGGCAGUUCAUGGCAGCUUGCCAAGUUUAAGAAGAGCAAAGCACUGAGGUUACCGAAAGAGGUGGGAAGUUCAUGAAGGUUGACACAUCCUGAUAGGUCAAAGUAUUGCAGCUUUUGGAGGCAACCAAUGUUUGUGGGCAAUGCCUUCAGAGAAGUGUUUGAAAGUAUCAAGGUUUGCAAGUUUAGGAGACGGUUCAGGGAUUUAGGAAAGUUUGGGAUAGGAAGGUUGGAAGCAUCAAGAUACCGCAAUAGCUUUAGUUUACAAACAGAACCUGGUAGCUCUGACACAUGGCAUCCACUCAAAUCCAAAACUCUCAGAUAUAAUGCGUGUGAGAAUGCUUGCUUAGGAACAUGCAGUUUAUUGCAUUCCCUGAAAUGCAUGGCCCUAACGUUUGGUGGCAAAGACUUAGAGGAUGAAGACUCGUUACUAUUCAUCAAUAGCUGAUAGUGACAAAUCAAUUUGUCCCCCUUAGUAGUGCUGUUUGCCACACCAUUUGUGCAAGAUAAUUCAUCACCAGCAACAUGCCUUGCGAGAUCGUGUACCAUAUCAUGCAUACGAAGUCUAAGUGUGGGUUCAAAACUCCUUGAAGCUGGCACCUUGCAAAAGAAAAUAGAGCAUAGUUCAUAUCUUUUCAAGACAAACAAUUGCAAUUUCGUAAUUACAAGUACACUUACUGUAGGAGUCAAAUUUGUGAGGAAGGACAUCCCCAAGAAUUCAUUAACAUAUUCCCUACCAAUCUUCUGAAGUGGUUGUUCCCCAUUAGUAUCUUGAAUAAACCCCAAAGCAAUCCAUUGCUGGAUCAAACAAUCAUGAUCUAUAUCAUGGUUCUUAGGGAAGAUAGAGCAAUACAUGAAACAAAGUUGAAGUUGUGGAGGCAUGUGGUAAUAGCUUAGCAGCAAGCCCUUCAGAAUUCCUUUGUCAUCAUCCUUAAUAUCCAGUAUGUCACUAUUUUUAAUUUCUAACCAUUCUUCUCUGGUGCACUGCUUCUGCAUCACAUAACCAAGAGCCUUAGCAACCAGAGGUACUCCACUGCAUCGCUGUGCAAUAUCCUUUCCAAUGUCUACAAGGUCAGUAAGUUGACCAUUUCCGAGAUUACGAGGCUUCAUAAUAGACCAGCAUUCAUCAAUUGACAUACCCUCCAGUUUAAUUGGGUCAACAAUCUGAAAAUAUGAAGAAUGUAUGGUAGUGGUAGAUACUAAACUAACAACCUUUUCACUACGGGUAGUGACUAUUAUAUUGCUACCUUUCAUUCCAGAUUGCAACAUGUUCAUCAGAUCCUCCAACUUAGACCUCUCUUCCUCCCAUAAAUCAUCUAAGACUAUAAGAUAAAUCUUGCCAUGGAGUAUGCGGUCAAGUUGAGAUUUUAGGUACUGCAGAUCAACAUCAUUAGCAGGGGUGCUACCCUCGACCUGAGAUAUAAUAGCAGACACAAUCUUAUUUAGCUGAAAGUCCAUCGAGACAUGAACCCAUGCUUUCACAUCAAACAUAUUUGUUUCCUUGUCAGUGUAAACAGCCUUUGCUAAUGUUGUCUUACCCAUUCCACCAAGGCCAACAACAGGAAUGAUAAAGCUUUCUUUCUCUCCAUUUUUCUGCAACACCUUAGUCAGUAUGUCUUUCUUCUCUCUUUCCCUUCCUAUCACCUCAAUUUCAUCUCUGUCACCAAUAAAGGUUUCUCUCCACUUCUUCUUACUAUCUUGGCUUGUUGGGGUAGGCAAUGUCAGAAAACGGAAUUUCGUCUGUUCCUCAAUAAUCUUAUCUAGCAUCACCCGGAUAUUUCUCAUCUUAUCUGAUAUGGUGAUGCGCACAACGAGUGGAUUGAUUGAUGAGAAGAAAAAUUUAGCCUGCAGUAUUUUUGUAAGAUGGAAUCAGUGAAACAACCACAACAUAUCUCCUCAGAAGGCACGUGUGACUAAAAAUCUACCAAAAAGUUAGUAUAGUUUUAUGAAGUAGAUAUAACACCUAACUAGAAAAUUAUUUUCUAUUUCUGGACCGUAGCAUGCAAGAAUUCCUAUGGAUUCCCAAAUUGUGGUCACCAACACUGACAAAAAAGUUGUGGUAGUGUCACAGUCACACCGCACGACAUUAUACUAAUUAAUCCUACAAGUGGAUCAAUGUUCCUAUUCUAUUUCUUUAUCGAUGAAUUGAGAAUUGCGAAUUUCGUUAGUCAAUUGUGCUAGAAAAGAUUGUCAAUUCUAUGACCAUUUAAAUUAGGUACAGGAAUUAGGAUCUUUUUGGAAUGUGUGAAUACAGUUCAAUGGACAAUUUAAAGCUCUAACCCAUUUUACUUUGUGCUUGAUUCGGUAACCUUUUGAGGACCAAAACUAAGCUGGAGCCCCUAGAAAUAAUAACAAAAAGAGUGAAUCAGACUGAAAUUAGAAUGCAGAAAUGUGUAAAGUUUCCUUGAAAUUUCAUGUAAUUUAUUCACACUAGUACUAUAAGUAUAUGCUGAUAAAAAUAUUAUUAAAUAGACCAUACAAUAUCCAGUACAGUAAUCAACUGUGACCUUGCAUUGGAGGGAUCAGGCUAAUUACACAAUGGGCCCAAUAACUUUGUAUUCUGGAGAUAGAUUGCUCUUUGGCGACCGACUUUAGUAGAGAGCAUAGCAAAGUAGCGAAGAGUUGGCAAGCUAGGAGGAACUACUGCUAUGUGUUUGAGGCAACAACACCACGUGUGUUGUCUAACAACUGAACCAUGACUGUAACCCAAGUAAUAUGAAGCUCUCUUGUCCCUUAGAAACAUGGGAAAGGAAUCUGUAUUUAGCAUGCUGCAAUAAUUUUAAAUUUUUAAUUAUCAAAGCAUGUGAAUUCCCCCUUCAAAUAGAAUUUUUUUUAGAAAAAGAAUAUUUGUUUGGUUUCCCUGCGUAAUUUUCCCAAGCCUUUCGAAUAAGCAAGGAAAUCCUCGUAAGCUAUGAAUGGGCAAGGGAAUAAAACCAUAGUUUAAAAUAGUCAGCUAUAGCCUCCGCUUUCUCCGGCUAUAGCGGAUCGAGGUGGGUGCAGCUAUUGCUCACGUGUGCAAUUCAUUGGCUAUAGCUCCAUCCAACAACCAAGUUUCUUAUAAAAAGAAUAAUUGUUUGGUCUCCCUGCACAACCUUUCCCAGCCUUUCAAGUGAGCAAGGAAAUCCUUUUAAGCUAUUGAAUUGGCAAGGGAAUAAAAUAUGAAAUAUGUGUCUACUUAAAAGGGAGCAAAUGCUAAACAGAAGAGAGGACGUGUGCUUGUGGGACACAGUGGAAGAAGAUAUGUAUGGUGGUUACAGGGCCCGGAUCUACUAUGUCAAACUUUUGCGCUCUCAUUAAAUCCGUGCAUCUCCCUGUAGGUUCAACUAGUCAAUCAACUGACUAGCAGGUGUUUCCAUGAACCAGUGUCAUACGAUGAUUGCAAUUAGAUAAUAAAUUCAGAUAACUAUUUUCUCCAAGGAACAUAAUUUAGAUAAUAAUUAUCGGGUGGCCAAAAAAUUGUACAGAUCUAGCUCUGUGAGAGGCCUUGCAACUUUCCAUCAAAACUACGUGUGCAUAUGAUUGUUGGGUGUUCUGAGGGCUGUGUAUACGUAUAUGAUUUAGCAUAUCGUAGUCUAUUACUUCUUCACAAACAUAUGUAUAUGGAACAUUUUGAGAAAUAUGUAAAUGGAAUAAUUUGGACAAAUAUCAAAUGUUUUGUGGUGUCUGUUUACUGUGCACACCCACAGAUCCACGAGAAUGCAUGUAGACGCUAACUGAAUAAAGAGUAACUGCUCUCCAUUAUCCUAAUAGCUAGAAUUAGUAGCAUGAGAAGACCCAGUGUCAUAGUACGUACCGUGCAUGUACUAUUUCUCCAUAUCAUUGCGUUGGCGCCCAACUCAUCCAGUGUGUCCUCCAUGUCAUAGGCAACAGAUUUGUACUUCUUGAGCCAGAGUCUCGCCAAUGCAUCCUCGGACUCCUGGGAGCGCUUCUCAGCAUUGUUAAGUGCAACCUGCAGGUUAAACAUUUUGUCCUUCAUCUCCUUGGCAUCAUUCUCAAAGUUCCAUAGCAGCUUGAUCCUCUCCCAGGCUUUGUCACCGAGCAUGCUGCCAACAUGCUGAAUCACGGCACUUGCGAUCAUGUCAGGUCCCCCACUCAUGGCUGCAGACUUGUGUUUUGCUUUUGUGUACUUGAAAGCUCCUAUAUGAAGAACAUACAACAUGUUAUGCAGAUAUAUGCUGCUGCCUGUCUUCUAGUCAAGCUUUUUGCAUCCACAGAUACCUGAAGUGCAGUGCAGGUUCAGAACUUGGAAUCCCCACCGAAAGCAAACUGCAUAAAUCCCUAGACUACACCGCAAGUCAUGGCCUUUGGUGAAAGCAAAGUAGGCGUGGUGCCUAUCCUGGAAAACAGAACGUAUGGACAAAGUUAAAGAUAUGAACUUGAAAUAUUUAACUCAAAGAUGACAGAUUAUGAUUUCUUUGCUAAUGAAUUCGGGAGGAGGGAGAGAUGGGGAGAAUGACGGAGCAAACACUGCACGAGACAUAAAUCAUAUGAGAUGGAUGGAUUUUUCGGCUUCUCGCCAUGAGCUUGCUACAAGAACAUAUAAGACUGAUAUUCACAAGGGAGAACACUCUUGUACUGAAUGAAUACUGAAGAGUGCCAUGCCUUGCUUCUAAAGAUGAAGAUGAUUUGUUAACAGUACACGGUUCACUUGUUCAAAGAUCAAUUUCGGCAACAGACGCGAGCGCCGCCUCCGAAGGGUUCCUGCCCCUGCCCGAGCCGCCGGACGACAAACGGCGUCCGCCUCCAGCGAAGCGGCCAAGGCCCUCCAUCCGCCUCAGCAACCGCCUCUCCACCGGCGGCAUCGCGCCACCGAGCCCCGCCCCCUCGACAUUCCCCAUCCGCCUGCAGACUGAUGAAGGGGGAGUACGCCACCAACCCGAGGUCCUACUCGGGCCCCAAGGAAGGAACGCGAGGUCGAGCUCGUCAGAAGCAUCCACCGCUGCGGUCGAUGGCGUCACUCCCACGCUCGCCGUCGCUCGGUUCGACCCCGCAGCGUCUGACGCCACCGGCGGCGAGCAGCAGCUGGGGCGGGUUUGGGUUUGGGCUUGGCAUCCGACUUGGGUUCAUGGGCUCAUGGCCUGUCUAACAUUAUUCUCCAACCCGAAGUCUGAUUACACGGCCACACUGCUCAAUUUGUCACCAACAACACAAGAGGACAAUGGGAUGGAAGUUCUUCAUGUUAGAUUGAUCUCUCUCCUAAUGGGCCCAACGGACCAAUUGGACCUUGAUCCGCGCCCGGAUCGGGGGCGCUCACCCUAACAUUGGGUGGUGGGCCCCUAUCACGCUGCGCUAUAUAAAGGAGGUGGGGGCCACGGCUCGGGGCACGAGGUUCGCCGCCGCCGCCAGCCACCCCACCCACAUCCCUAAUCCGAUCUAUAGGGGAGGCGCAGAAGUGACGGGAAGACCGCCACCGCCGCGCCCACGACUCUGCACCGGAAGUUCCAGCUCCUCAGCUGGCGAGGGUCUCUCUCUCUCUCUUAGCACUAGAACACCACAAGAACUGCACUGUUGAAACCGAAAUAAACCGAAGAUCUACUGCUAGUCGAUCCAAUAGAACUAAUAAUGGUAUCAGUUAGCCUAAACUAGAUCGUAGAUCUACUCGGGGAAAGUUUUAGACACCGAAAAGAGAUCCGUCUCGGAUCUGAGCAUCGGGUUUCGUUAUGAACCCUAACCCCAAUCGGGUGAACCACAAGAACAGAGAGGAGAUCCUUUUAGGACCUAAACCCUAAACGGGUAACAGAAAAGCGUAACAAAAAAAGAACACCAGCCCCUUAACCCUAACCCGGUUCGGAUCAGUGAAGAACAGAAGGAAAAGAAAAGAGAGUAACGAACCCAAGUUCGGAUAAAGAAUCGGCAAAACAAAAGAAAAGAAGGCGGCGACCGCGCCACUUCCGCCGCGGAUCCUCACCGGCGAACGGGCCGGGCGAUGCGCAGGUGCUCGGUUGGGUGCGGCGCAGAGGAGGAGAAAAAGAAAUUAGGGUUGCGGAGGAGCAGGCCAUCCGGUCGUUUUGAUCUUCCGAAAAGGAUGCGCGGCCGUCGGAUCAGGACGGACGCGAUUGUCCGGGCUGAAAACGGCCCAGGCGGGAAGGCCAAUUGCUGGCCCAGGCGGGAAGGCCAAUUGCUGGCCCAGGCCCAGGUUGUGGCCUGGAACGUGGGAGCACUAUCAGCGAACAAAAGGCAGGGCCGCAUUGUCAUUUGGGCCUGCACUGUUCAGGCGAAAGAAAAGUCUGGGCUGCAUUUUUUUGCGCCUUGCAUGCUGCGCUCCGGGCCAAACGCACCUCAGCCAGGUCGCUGGGCCAUCUUGUGCGUCCGGACGCGGGCCGGUUCUCACCGCUGAGCCGAAAGUCAUCAGCGAGCGGGCCGAGUGAGAAGACGGGCUCUGGGCCGUCUUUUUGCUGCCGGGCCGAAAAGAAAAAUAGCGCACAGUAACGUUUUGUUUUUUCUUUUUCUAUUUACAGAAGCAUUUAAUUGAUGUUUUUUUAGUUUUGAUCUCUAUUCAAAUUUGAACCAACGGGAUAAUUUGACAUAGAGAUUAAUAAAGUUUUACAGUGUUUUUUCUUCUGAAAAUAGAAUUAAUUGAAUGUUUCCGCUGCAAAAGUUUAAAUUAUUGCUCUGUUUAAAUUUAAUUUGAACCAACGAGAUAAUUAAAUUUACGAGCACGAUAAAGUUAAUAUUUUCUUAAAAAGUUGAUUAUGAUGAUGUUAUUUUAUGACCAACGUUGUUAAUAACUUAUCAUAAUUUAAAAGGUUAUAUGCAUUAUUUUCUAUUUUUGCCCAACGGUGAUGUAGAUAUAAUUGCAUAAACAGUUGUAUGUUUUAAUUUUAACCAACGUUGGAUUAACGCAUGCAAUUGUUGUCAUGGAUCUCACCUUACUGUGGUUUUCAGGAGGGUACUACUUGAUGGGGUGCAUUAAGGACAUUCCAACCCUUAGAGGUGAUAACUACAGUGAAUGGAGGAAAAAGAUCGACAUGGCUUUCGUCUGUGGUGAGGUUGACUGGGUAGUCACCACUCCGCAGCCCAAAAAGCCAACAGUGCCAGUACGAGAGGAUACUGAUGAUGACGCUGCAUGGGAGAAAAGGAAGAGGGAAUAUGUUCUGUUGGAGCUGUCAUAUUCCAUCGAGAAUAAAAAGUGGACCACUGCAAAUAAAAAGUGCAUGGCUGUGAUAAAGAACACGAUUGAGCCUGCCAUUUUGGGCUCGAUCGAAGAGUGUGACUCCGUUGGUGAGUACCUUGAAAAGAUAAAGACAUAUGCCACUCAGUUGAUAAAGCAGCUAGUAACAAAGAAGUACACUAGAGGUGGCAUUAGAGACCACAUUCUUAGGAUGAGCAACUUAGCAUCGAAGUUAAAGCCACUGAACAAGGAUUUGGAGCUUAAGCCUGCACUCCUUGUCCAUCUGGUUUUUGCUUCUCUGCCAAAGGAGUUUGACCACUUUGUAGUCACUAUAACAUGCAGCCUGAACAGUGGGACAUGGAAAAGACUGUAGCCAUGUGCGUGCAAGAGGAGGAGAAGAUUAGAUCCUCACAUGGUGGUUCUCUGAACUAUGUGAAGGAGAACAAGAAAAAGAAUUUCCAUGCUAACUCCUCCUUUAAGCCACGUGGAGAGGCCCCUACGCAGCAACAGCAUCAGCAAAAGCAUCUCACUGUGAACAAAGAUCAUUGCCUCCACUGCAAGAAGACGGGGCAUUACAAGAAAGAAUGCCCCGAUUGGUUAAAGAUGAUAAUGGCAAAGAAUGGUGAGAAUAUUAUCUCAUUUGUAAAUGAAUCCUUGUAUUUACAGUAUUCGAAAUCUACCUGGUAGAUUGACUCUGGUGCAACUGUUCAUGUUGCAAAUUCUUUACAGGGAUUCCGUUCGAUGAGGACUACGCAAAGAAGCGAAAGAUGCGUUGAAGUCGCAAAUGGAGUCCAAGUAGAAGUUGAAGCUAUUGGCGACGUCUCUCUAGAGCUAGUUGAUGGUUUUACGCUUCUGCUUGGAGAUAUACUUUAUGUUCCUUCAUUACACAGAAACUUAAUUAGCAUUUCUCAUUUGGAUAAAGAUGAUCAUGAAUGUAAUUUUGGAAAUGACAAGUGUGCCAUUUGGUUUAAUAAUGCAUGUGUUGGUGUUGCCAUCCUUCACAACGAGCUUUAUUUACUAUCGCUGCGCAAAAAAGUAAAUUAUGUGUGUGACGUGAAUGUAAAGGUAUCCUCGUCGGAGAAAGACACAAAGAAAAGAAAGAGAACUCACGAUGUGUCAUCGAAAUUAUGGCACUGUCGUUUAGGCCAUAUUUCGAGGGGGAGAAUAGAAAGACUUGUUAAGAAUGAAAUUCUUCCUCAAUUAGAGUUCUCAGACUUAGAACAAUGCGUAGAUUGCAUUAAAGGAAAGUACGUUAAGCAAAUCAAAAAAAGGUGCUAAACGUAGCACAGGAACUUUAGAGAUAAUCCACACUGAUAUUUGUGGACCAUUUCCUGUGAAAAGCGUGGAUGGUUAUGAUUCGUUCAUAACAUUCACAGACGAUUACUCCCAUCAUGGCUAUAUUUAUCCAAUAAAAGAAAGAUUGGAAGCGCUGGAUAAAUUUAAUUUGAACCAACGAGAUUAUUAAAUUUACAAGCACGAUGAAGUUAAUAUUUUCUUAAAAAGUUUAAAAUAUUUAAAGCUGAAGCUGAAAAUUAGCACGAUAAAAGAAUUAAAAUAGUAAGAUCCGACCAUGGGGGGAGUACUAUGGUCGGCAUACCCCAUAUGGACAAGUUCCUGAUCCUUUUGCAAGGUUUCUACAGAAAAAUGGCAUAGUAGCCCAGUAUUCAAUGCCGGACGAGCCUCAGCAAAAUGGAGUAGCUGAAAGGCGUAACCGUACACUGAUGGAUAUGGUGCGCAGCAUGAUGAGUUAUUCCACCUUGCCAUUGGAACUGUGGAUGGAGGUGUUAAAAACCGCCAUUCACAUUCUUAAUAGAGUGCCAAGUAAGUCAGUUCCCAAAACACCGUACGGACUAUGGACAUGAAGAGUUCCUUCACUGAACCACAUGCGUGUGUGGGGGAGCCCAGUUGAGGCCAAAGUGUUUUACCCAAAUAUUGGGAAGCUAGAUCCCAAAACAGUAAGUUGCCACUUCAUUGGCUAUCCUAAAAAAUCGAAAGGUUAUCGUUUCUACUGUCCAGACAGAUAUACAAAAUUUGUAGAAACGAGACACGCUGUUUUCUUAGAGGAUGAAUUGGUAAGGGGGAGCAUGGUGGCUCGAGAGAUUGAUCUUGAGGAGAAGCGGGUGUGUGCACCUACUCCAAUGAUUCAGGAGCCAUUCUUCUCACUACCUAUUGUUCCUACACCGACAGUUUCUGAUGUCGCGGUGCAAGCACUUGCAAUAGUUUCUGAAGUUGUAGUGCAAGCACCAGCUAUGAUUCCACCCUGGAAACGAUGAGUAAGAAUUUGGAACCUGUCCUUCAGGAGCCAACUGAACCCAUUGCUACACAUGCGGAAGAGUUACAGCAGCCACCUCUGUAUGAUGUGCCACAAGCUGAGGCACAAGAUGUGCCCGAAAAUGAGGGACCUAGAAGGUCCCAAAGAUUUAAAAGGUCAGCUAUUCCUGACAUUUAUAAAGUUUAUAACACAGAAGAAGUUCAUAUGGAAGGUGAUCCCAUUUCAUAUGAAGAAGCCAUGAGAAGCGCCCACUCAUCCAAGUGGCUAGAAGUCAUGGAAGGUGAGAUGAAAUCGAUGAGUUCCAACGAUGUUUGGGAACUUGAAAAGGUUCCUAGAGGAGCCAAAACAAUAGGUUGUAAAUGGGUCUACAAGACUAAACGCGACUCCAAAAGGAACGUAGAAAGGUUUAAGGCGCGACUCGUGGCAAAAGGUUUUACACAAAGAGAAGGGAUAAACUACAAUGAGACCUUUUCUCCUGUCUCAUGUAAAGAUUCCUUCAGAAUCAUAAUGGCAUUAGUGGCACAUUUCGAUUUAGAGUUACAUCAGAUGGAUGUAAAGACGGCAUUUCUAAAUGGUAAUUUAGAGGAAAAUGUCUACAUGAAACAACCCAACGGUUUUAUCGUGGAAGGCAAAGAGAAUAUGGGAUGUCGUCUAAAGAAAUCCAUUUAUGGAUUAAAGCAAGCCUCUAGACAGUGGUAUCUAAAGUUUAAUGAUACAAUUAAGAAAUUUGGGUUUAAAGAAAACAUAGAGCACAAUUGCGUCUAUGCAAAGUUCAAAAAUGGAAAAUACAUUUUCCUAAUCCUGUAUGUGGAUGAUAUCUUGCUUGCAAGCAGUGAUAUCAGUCUACUGCUGGGAACAAAGAAGUUUUUGUCCUCAAACUUUAAUAUGAAGGAUCUCGGUGAAGCAUCAUAUGUUUUAGGCAUAGAAAUUCACCGAGAUAGAAAGAAUGGGGUUUUGGGAUUAUUGCAAAAGGUAUAUUUAGAAAAGAUCCUAAAGAAGUACAAUAUGCAUGCGAGAAAAGCCACACCUGCUCCUAUAGUCAAGGGCGAUAGUUUUGGGAAUUUCCAAUGUCCCAAGAACCAAUACGAGCUCAAACAUAUGAAAGCGGUACCAUAUACUUCAGCUGUAGGAAGCUUAUAGUAUGCACUCGCCCUGACUUAGAUAUCAAGAUAAUCCAGGUUUAGAGGACUGGAAGAUGGUAAACAAAGCAUUGCGUUACGCGCAAGGCACAAAAGACCUCAUGCUAACAUACAGAAGAUCUGAUUCCCAAGAGAUAAAAGGGUAUUCAGAUGCGGACUUUGCGGGAGACAGAGAUGAUAGAAAAUCCACGUCUGGUUACGUGUUCACUCUCGCGGGGGGAGCUAUCUCGUGGAGAAGCUCCAAAUCGAAAGUAACUGCAUCAUCUACGAUGUAUGCAGAAUUUAUAGCAUGUCAUGAGGCCACGGGGCAGGCGAUAUGGUUAUAGAAAUUUGUACCCGGAUUGAAAGUGGUUGAUUGCAUUCAUAGAACACUAAAGAUGUAUUGCGACAAUGAGUCAACAGUAUUCUAUGGUCGCAACAAUAAAUCAAGCAUUGCUUCCAAAUCGAUUGAUAUAAAGUUUUAUGUUGUGAAAGACAAAAUUCAGGAUCACACUAUAAGUCUCGAGCAUAUAAGGACAAAGAAUAUGCUUGCGGAUCCGCUAACGAAAGGCUUACCACCCAAUAUGUUCAAGAAACACUUAGCCGGCAUGGGUUUAAGGGAAAGCCUAUGAUCCUGAAUAUUAUAAAGGGCCCAAAGGAAACAUAAUUGUUUCAAAAUAGAAAGGUGAGUUGUGGCUGUUGAUUCUAUCGGCGAUUGAGCUAUGACGACGAGGCAUGCUCUACACACUAAUCUACGAUGAAAUGAAUAAAAGCAAAAGUUUAAAGUUAAAAGUAUAUGAUGAGAUCAAGGGGGAGAAUGUUAGUGUCGGUGUUUUAGACCAGCAACCCGCCUAUGGGGUACCCUAGGUGGUUUUUUGUGCGGUAAGGGUCGUCGAGAAUGAAGGAAUCAAUGGUGACGCAAGGAACACGAUUUAGACAGGUUCGGGCCGCUAGAUCGCGUAAUACCCUACGUCCUGUGUGUUGGUUUGUAUUGAUCUUGGAUGAACCAGAGUUGUUUUGUUUGAGGGGGGUCCCUGCCCGCCCUUAUAUGCACGGGAGGGCAGGGUUACAAGUCUGAGUCCUAGUCGAGUACUACUACAGAGUUUUACUCGGUAUGGCCCGAGUAGUUUUCCAUACACAUACUUGGCUAGUCCGAGUGGGAUACGCCUAUCCCUUGUCGUGACCAUAUCCGAGUACGUCCCUUAGUGGGCCGUCCAGGGUCUACCCGUGGACCUGGGAUGCAUGCCCGACAAGCCCCCGAGUACUUUGUAGUCGUACGUCAUAGUCUCGAGUACUGUGGGCACUAUCCGAGUAGUUUGUCAUAGAGGUUGCAGUGUCCGAAGUGCUCGAGUACUGUCGCGUGGCUGGAAGGUACUCUUCUUGUUUCUUUGAGUUUGCUUAUGUUCCGAGCGUUUUUUAUAUAAUAGUGCAAUGUCAAUCGCACUCCAUAUGGAGUAGCCCCUGAGCCUUAGGUUGAGUCGAAGACUCAGGCUUAGGGUCAAUCCUGCUUUUUGACUGUUUUACCCUUGGAAAUCUGAAAAAGAAAAUUCUGACCAUCGGGUACGGUACCCGCAGCCCCCGAGCACUUAGGCGAUUUUUGUCGUUGAAGUGGUCAACAACCCGUUGAAAAGAGUAGUCGUUGGGUGUUUAAGGCAAUUAAUCUGCUUAAAAUCCAUCCGUUGCAUAACUGACGCGUAGAAUCCGGAGGUGGCGGAGAUAUAACUGGAGGGCCCCCUUUUGGUUAGGUUUACGCCCAACUGUAGCAGAUAUGUUUCUCUUCUUCCCCAACUUUUCCGUUCCUGUUUUCCUCUUCUAUCGCGAUUGCCAAGUGCCACCGCCGCCAUUGCUGCUCAUUGAGAGAAAUCCGAGGGUGAGUGCAUUUUGCUGAGGUUGAAAUCGGCAGAUGCGCACCAAGAAGAUGGGCAAGAAACCCGAGAAGAUCCAAGGCAAGGCUCCGGCGGUGGGCAAGGUGAGGGUCAAGAACGGGAAGGAGUGCUGCCAGUGCCCAAGGUGGGGCCGAUGAACCAGACUGCGCCGCCACCGCCUGGAGCAACGUGGCAGCAUUCGGUGAUGAAGGAGGAGGUCGUGCAGGCGCUAGUCGACGCCAAGCUUCUGCAGACAAAGGAGGUACUCGAAUGGCGCCCUACUUUUGCAAAUGCGUGGCAAUUUGAGGAACACCCCAGCGAGAUGGUGAUGCUUGCACACUUUGUGGAGAGGGGAUUGGCGGUGCCCACCUCCGACUUCUUCAGAGGUAUCCUCGAGUACUAUAAGUUUCAACUUAUUCACUUGAACCCCAAUGGUGUACUGCAUAUGUCAAUUUUUGUACACCUUUGCAAAGUUUACUUGGGAGUUCCUCCGAGCCUUGAGCUGUUUAGGAAGUUGUUUCAUUGUAAAACUCGGCCUAGUGCACUUAGGACGAAGGUCUUUGGAGGCGCCGGGUUCCAACUCAGGAACUCGGGCGCGUAUAUUGAGUACAAUUUGACUGACUCCCAUGGGGAGUGGAAGAAAAUGUGGUUCUAUAUUGGGAACCAUGAUCCUCGCUUGUCGGUGGUUACUGAUCACGCACCGAAGCAUGCAGAGAACUGGGUGAGCGAACCUGAAGAUACCCCAGAGCUUGACCAUUUGCUGCAGCAAAUUACCGAGUUGAAAGCACUUGGUCUCACCGGGAUUAACGUGGCGGCUAGUUUUCUGAAGAGAAGAGUUCAGCCGCUUCAGAAACGGACUCACUCAGGGAGUGACUACACAGGUUUUAAGGAUCCAUCGCGUAUGUCCGAUGAGGAUAUAUCUGACGAUAAUAUGGAGGCGCUGCUGGCCAAGUUCUUCAGGAACUACCAGGGAGUACCAGUAAUCCCUGCAGCUCUUCGGCAGUAUGAUGCGUGGUAUGAGCCAGAAGUGGUAUGUCCUUGCACUUGACUUGUACUUUUUGACCUUUGUGAUAUUUGUUUUAAAUAUCGACUUGUUUUUUGUAGUCCCGAGUUCUUGCCGACUACUUGGCGCAGUCGGGAGAAGAAGAAACUGUUGUUGAGGAGUCAGAGGAUGAGCCCUCUCCUCCUGUGAAGAAACACAGAGUAGUCCGCAAGAUAUCUACGGCUAAGUCUGCUUCAACUCCUGAGAAGUCUCAUGGUGCCAAGGUAUAUAGCCGUGUACUCACUUGUAGCUGAUAGACUUGAACUUGCAAUCUUGUGAUUACUUUGUCAUGUUCAAAAGGCUAUCGAUGCGGCACUUGGUGAUGAUGAGGCUGCUUCUGGAGAAGUAGUCGUGACCGACCCGAGCGUCGGUAUUGCGUCUGUUGAGAAGGUGCCAGAGGAGGUGCCGCCAACGGAUGCUGAAGUAGCCCCCGAGCUGACCGCACAGGCUCCGUCGGCUGCCGCGCUGUCGGUUACUGACCACGCAGUCUUGGGGUUGCCCGCCGGAGUAGCGGGUGUUGCGAAAAAAGUGUCGCCAGUAGUUGUUACUGGCUCUUUGUUGUCCAGUGUAAUUGCCAGUGGUAAGCUUUCUUUCGCGACUAGCUGUGUUAGUCUGAAUUGUUUUGUGGUCUUGACUCUGUGUUUCUCAGUCCUUGGCGAGAAGACAGUGCCAGCAGCUGUUCCUGCAGCGCCGAGUACUCGACCAACUGUUGCUGAGAAGAAACGUGUGCGAUUGCCGCCACGCUCAACUCGGUGAGUUUGUUUGUCCUUGGUGUGUAUCGUCAAGUCGUCUUGAAGUCAUAUAAUGACUGUGCUUUGAUGUAGGGAUGUGGAGGAAACUAUCCCUGUGGAGACAGGAAUAGAGUCGUAUCCCCCGACUACUUUAUCGGCUCCCUUGGAGGAUUUGAUUGUCGAGGAAGUAUUCGAAGUUAACGCUGGUCGUCUUGGAGCUACUAUGUCCAUGCUUCAAGAGGUCAUCCGCUCGGUGGAGGUCCCCUCCACUGCUUCGGGUUCUGGGAAUGCAUCUUUGUCGACAUCUACUAGCGGAGCUCUGGCUGUAGUGGGUGUGGAAAAAUCCAAAGAAUCAACUGCUCCAGGUAUGUAUUCGUAGUCUUGGUUUUGUAGUCGUGGCAUUCAGGUGACUGAUGAUAACUUUUUAGGUACUGCUUUGGGUGCAUCUCCUCAUCUUGCGAAGAGUACGUAAAGUCCAGUACUCAGGCUUUCGUCGGAGUAUGAUUUCCAGAGAGCUGUCGAUGUGUUUCGAAGCUUCCGGGUGUGUUGUCUUUGCUUUGUCGAACAUAUUGAGUAAUUUUAAGAUCUUUGACUGAUCGCAUUGUUGUGCACAUUCGGGCCCUGCAGGAACGAAGCCAUCAAUUGGAGCAGGAGUGUGCCCGACUUACAGAAUCCUUGAGGGUUCAUGAAGCUGUGGAGCGGUCAGAUCACGAAAUCUUGCAGCAGAAACUGGAGAGCCGCUACAAGUCUUUGAAUAAAAAGUAUCAAGGUGAGUACUUUGCAUCUUUCGAGUAUGUCCGACUGUAGUCGGUUGUUGUUUGAACUUGGCCGUGUUCGCAGAGCUCAAGAGGCAAGAGGCUACUACGAGUAGCCAACUCCUUAACUGGAGAAACGCGCACGACCGAGUGGCGGAUGAAGUUGAACGUCUUCGGGUCGCGCUGACAGAAGCACAGGCUGCUUGCAAGCAUCAGCGAGACAGGAAGACUCAGAAUGGGGUGAUACUUGCUAUGGCCAUGGUGGCAUGUAGAGAUCAUGUCCAGACCAUAGGAAGACUUCGGGGCGAACUCCAAGAGUUGUCUGUGGCAGCUCAAGAUCUGGUGAACGCCAUUGCCCCCGUGGAAGAGGACGUCGGACCUCAAUCACUAGUCGAGCAAUUGAAGGCUGCCCCGAGUAAGGUGGCAGGUCUCUACAAGGCUGUUUGCAAACAAGUCCUUGCUGUGGUAAAGUCAUACUAUCCAAGGGCAGAUUUGUCGGCGGCUGGUGACGGCGUGGCGCGCAACUGCACAGAAGAAGCUUAUGCGCAGUACCUCGAGGAGGUGGAGCCAAUCUGAAUUUGUCUCUCCAGAGGAGCCUUGAACUUUUAUAUACUCUUGUAGUUUUUUCGAGUACCCUGAACGAUACUUUGAGAAAUGAAUGCUUGUUCUCUUUUUGUUGCUUGAAGUAGCUGUCUUGACGUGUGCGAAGAGUAGUUCACUCCGCCUCGCCCAUCCCAAGGUCUCGGGGUCGGAUCUGCCCGACCCUUUGGGGAUGGAACUCCGCCUCGCCCGACCCUUGGUCCCAGGGUCGGAUGCAUCGAACCCUUAGAGGAUGGAACUCCGCCUCGCCCGACCCUUGGUCCUAGGGUCGGAUGCGCCCGACCCCUUGUCGUAAGGCUUCGUAUCGCCCGACCCUUGAGUAGAGGGUCGGCCUUUUCCAAGCCCCCUGAGUGUCGAGUAGUUCUGAGUGUCGAGUAGUCGUGAUGCUGUCGAGUACUCUGCUCUUUGGGGAUGCACGGGUGUACUGUACUCUUUUGUCCAUUGUAGCGUGAAUGCUUUCACGUGGGCAGAGUUAGAGGUCGUCAGACUCAUUGAUCACGGGCGCAUAGUAACUCCUGGGUGGGUGGUAGUUGCAGUGCUUGGCUAUAAAUAGAUCCCCCUGGAGGUCGACCUGAAUCAAGUUUUUGAGUAGCAAUGGAUUGCCUUCGGUUGUUGUUGUUUGAGUGUAGAGAGCCUUCAGAGAGUACACCGGUGCUAGAAGAUUCCUCGUAUAUUGAGGCCACCUUUCCUCCACAGACUCUAGCGCUCGUAGGGAUAGCCGCGAUGCUAGAAGAAUCCUCGUAGGAGGUUUCAUCGUGCGCCUCAUCUUGCAGCUCGUGAUCCAAUGGAGUACGCGCUGGAACUCGCAAGUGACAGGUGACGAGUGACGCGGUCUUUAUCCCGCUCUCUUAGAGGUGGAGGUGUGGCCGUAGAGUGGGUUGGCUCGGCAAGGCUAGCAAAAGAGUAGCCUUGGUUCCCUCUUGGCGCGGCGUGCGGGAUUCAUCGUUGCCGUUGUCAAGGCAGCGGCGGUGCAGGAGUUCCUAGCGUCGCCUUGGGUAGAGGACCUGGAUAUGGCUGCGUUUUGCGCAGCUUCCUUGCGUGUAGGCCCUCCCCAUUGUAGUUGGCAGAUUUGAGUGGCCUUGUGAUAUUGUAAAAGCCUGAGGCUUAAAUGCAGCCCGCCAGUAGGCAGUUGCUUGUAGUCCUUUUGUAUUUCAAGUACUUUUACUUGUAUGUAACUUGUUGAUGUAUCUUCGGUCCUGAGUAAAGAAUUACUCCACCGCUGAAACUUUGUACCGGGGCAGUAAUGCCUGUUGAGUUGAUAGUCUUGAGUCAAGAGUAGUAUAUCUUGUAGUUGGUAGUCGAGCUGUUGGCUCGAGUAGUUGACACGAGUUUUUGCUUUGAUGCAAUUACUCGGGUGCUGCUACGGGUAGUAGCGACAAAGGUGUUCUAUAUUCCAAGAGUUUGGUACUUGUUCUCCUGAGAGCUCUUGCAGUCUGUAAGAUCCGGGUCCCGUAACCUUUGAUGCGAUGUAAGGACCCUCCCAUGGUGAAUUGAGUUUAUGCAACCCUGUCGUGUCUUGUAUUCGCUUGAGGACCAUAUCGCCUAAGUUGAAAGAUCAUUCCUUGACGUUGCGGUCGUGGUAAUGCCUUAACCCAUCAAGGUACCUGGCAGAUUGCACUAGCGUUGCACAUCUUGCUUCUUCUAGACUGUCUAGAUCUGUUCGCCUUGUUUCUUCUACCAGUUUGUCAUCGUAUUGUUCAACUGAGGGUGAUUGCCACAUGAUGUCGGCGGGUAAUAUGGCUUCCGAGCCAUACACGAGGAAAUAGGGCGAGAGCCCAGUAGUCUUGCAUGGUUGGGUUCGUAGUCCCCACAGAGCAUUGGAUAACUCCUUGAGCCAUUUGCCGCCUUUGGUGUUGCCGACGUCGUGUAGUCUUUUCUUGAGGGCAUCGAGUAUCAUGCCAUUGGCACGCUCGACUUGUCCAUUGACUCGUGGGUGAGCGACCGAGACAUAGCGAACGUCGAUUCCGCUAUUCUCGCAGUAUUUCCAGAAGUCAUGAUUGUUGAAAUUUGACCCUAGGUCUGUGAUGAUCCUGUUGGGAAAGCCGUAAUGGUGUACGAUUUCAUCCAAGAAGUCGAGGACUCGGUCUGCUUUGGGGCAAGUGACUGGUUUGACCUCGAUCCACUUGGUGAAUUUGUCGAUUGCCACGAGUACUCGCUUGAAUCCUCCUGGCGUAGUUGGUAAUGGCCCUAUCAUGUCGAGCCUCCAGCAAGAGAACGACCAUGUUGGAGGUAUUGUGACUAGCUUGUAGGCCGGUACAUGCUGCUGUUUGGUAAAGAACUGACAACCUUUGCACUUUCGAACUAGUUGCUUAGCGUCGGCCAGAGCCAUUGGCCAGUAGAAACCUGCUCUGAAAGCCUUGCCAACUAUUUUUCGUGAAGAUGCGUGGUUGCCAGAGAUUCCCUUGUGAAUUUCUUCUAAGAUUUCUUGGCCGUCUUCACGGGUAACGCACUUCAUGAGUACCCCUGAGGAUGCACUUUUCCUGUAGAGCUUGUCUCCGACUAGAACGUAAUUUUUUACUCGCCGGGAGAUUUGUUCAGCCUGAUUUUUGUCGGAUGGUAGCUUAUGAUCUUUGAUGUAGUCGACGAAGGGUGUCCUCCAGUCGACUUCUAUCAUCAUGAUUUCUCGAGUGGCGUCAGUAGUCUGGACCACUGGCGGUGUAACUUGUUCAGGUAUGGACGACUUGUGCAGUUCGUGUACGAAAAUUUCUGCUGGAACCUCUGCACGAGUUGAGCCCAUUUUUGAUAAGACGUCGGCGGCUACGUUGUUGUCGCGGACGAUGUGAUGAAAUUCCAAGCCUGAGAACUUGUUUUCCAGUUUGCGGACUUCUUUGCAAUAAGCGUCCAUAUUAUCCUUGUUUCGGUCCCAUUCGUCAUUGACUUGGUUUAUAACGACUAGUGAGUCGCCGUACACCAAUAGUCUUUUGAUGCCGAGGGAGAUUGCAAGGCGAAGGCCGUGUAGCAGUGCUUUAUACUCGGCUUUGUUGUUUGAUACCUCCCAGAAGAUUUGCAGUACGUAUUUGAGCUGGUCUCCCUUUGGGGAGAUGAGGAGUACGCCUGCACCAGCUCCUUCAAGUUUGAGGGACCCGUCGAAAUACACCACCCAGUGCUCUGGCCGCUCGAUUGGUGUUGGUACUUGAUUUCAGUCCAUUCAGCCACAAAGUCGACCAAAGCUUGGGACUUGAUGGCUGUCCUUGGCUUGAAGUCCAAGGUUAGAGCUCCGAUUUCAACUGCCCAUUUGGAGAUUCUACCCGUGGCGUCUUUGUUAUGGAGAAUUUUGCCGAGCGGGAAGUCAGAGAUGACUGUGAUGUUGUGUUCUUGAAAAUAAUGGCGCAGUUUCUAGGAGGUGAGCAGGAUUGCGUAUAAAAGUUUUUGUAUCGGUGUAUACCGAGUUUUGGAGUCCGAGAGUACUUCGCUGACGAAGUACACAGGUCGUUGGACCUUGUAAGCGUGGCCCGGUUCAGACCGUUCGACUACUAUUGCCGUGCUGACGACAUGAGUAAUAGCUGAUAUGUAUAGGAGCAAGUCCUCGUUUGGAGAUGGAGCGGUGAGUACAGGAGGUUUUGACAGAAAGUCUUUGAGUUGCGUUAGUGCCUUGUCUGCCUCUUCUAUCGAUUUGAACUUGUCCUGGCGUUUGAGAAGCUUAAAGAAGGGUAGUCCCCGUUCUCCAAGUCUCGAGAUGAACCGAUUGAGAGCGGCUAUGUAGCCUGUGAGUUUCUGCUCAUCCUUGAUGCUAGCUGGUGCUUGCAUGUUAGUGAUGGCAGAUAUUUUUUCCGGGUUGGCCUCAAUGCCGCGAUGGCUAAUGAUGAACCUGAGUAACUUGCCGGAAGGUACUCCGAAGACGCACUUAGUAGGAUUGAGUUUCCAUCGGAAAGCUCGUAGACUAGAGAAAGUUUUCUCCAGAUCAGCGAUGAGUUCCUCCUGGUUUCUUGUUUUGAUGACUACGUCGUCGACAUAAGCUUUGACAUUGCGGUGAAGCUGCUUUUUGAAGCACAUCUGUAUAGCUCGUUGAUAGGUUGCUCCUGCAUUUUUUAGUCCGAAGGACAUUGUUUUGUAGCAGAAAGCUCCGAAAGGUGUGAUGAAAGCUGUUUUGGCUUGAUCUUCUUCCUUGAGGCUUAUCUGAUGAUAGCCGGAGUAGCAGUUGAGAAAGCAUAGUAAAGCGCACCCAGCGGUGGAGUCGACCACUUGGUCGAUCCUAGGUAGUCCGAAAGGAUCUUUUGGACAGUUCUUGUUGAGGUCGGUGUAGUCGACGCACAUUCUCCACUCGUUGUUUUUCUUACGAACGAGCACGGGGUUGGCGAGCCAGUCUGUGUGAAAGACUUCUUUGAUGAACCCUGCGGCGAGUAGCUUAGCUAGCUCUUUUUUGAUUGCUUCUUGUCUGUCUUGAGCGAAUCUGCGAAGUCGCUGCUGUUUUGGAGUAGCUUUGGGAACAACAUUAAGAGAGUGCUCGAUUAGUUCCUUGGGCACACCUGGCAUGUCAGCUGGUUUCCAAGCGAAGAUAUCGUGGUUAGCCCGAAGGAAGCUGACGAGCGCGGAUUCCUAUUUAGGAUCUAGCCCUGUUCCAAUCAGGGCUGUCUUGGAGGAGUCGCCCGUCUGGAGAUCGACUGGCUUGAAGUCUUGCUCGCUUGCGGGUUUCACCUUUGUAGGCCCCGACUUAUUUUCUGGGAUCUCGAGUUCAUUUGGACGGAGCUUCUUUGAAGCUGUGAAGACUUGUUGCAUGGGGCUAGGUGCUUGAGAAGUCGCAGCAAUUUCCACGACUUCGGUGUCGCAUUCGUAGGAUCGCCGUAGAUCUCCUCGUAGCGUUAGUUCUCCCUUGGGGCCUGGCAUUUUGAGUACCAAGUAAACGUAGUGUGGUAUGGCCAUGAACUUAGCGAGUGCUGGCCUUCCGAGUAUGGCGUGGUAAGAUGUCUCGAAGUCGGCGACUUCAAAUCUGAUGUACUUGGUACGGUAGUGUUCCUUAGUUCCAAAGGUAACUGGGAGGACGACUUGUCCUAGUGAUAUAGCUGCGUUUCCAGGCACGAUGCCGUAGAAGGGUGAAUCUGUUGGAGUAAGCAUUUCUGUAACGUCGAGGCACAUCUUCCUCAAUGUUUUGGCGAAAAUGACGUUGAGUCCACUUCCGCCAUCGAUGAGUACUUUGGUUAGCUUUGAGCCUACCACAACAGGAUCAAGUACUAGGGGGAACCGGCCUGGUUCUGAGAACUUGGUCCAUUGGUCCUUUCUGCUGAAGGAUAUGGGCACUUCUGACCACUUUAGCGGUGUUGGAUCUGUUGGUUCGAUGGCCAUGAUCUCCUUGAGUACGAGUUUGUUGGCUCGCUUGGACGCGGUGCCUGGGAUUCCGCCAAAGAUGACGUUGACUGUUUUUGAGGCGGUCUGGAAGUCGCCUUCUUCUUCUUCUUCGUUGUGGGCUUUGUUCUUGCCCUUAUCCUUUUUCUUGGUGUACUCUUCAGGGGGUGGUGGUGCGGGUAAGUCUUGCAUUACUCGGCGCAUACUGUAGCAAUCUAUUGCCGAGUGUUUGCUAGUCGGGUGCCAUGGGCACUACUUUUUGAGUAGUUCGGUGAAGGUCGGCCCUUCAUCGUUUUUGCGGGAUCCCUUUUUCCUGGAAUUGGUCAUGGCAGCAACAGUGUUGUCGGGCUUCCUUUUGCGAUUGUGAUUGCUCGAGAAGUUGUUUCGAGUAUCAUUGUGUUGAGUUCUAUCCUAGUCAUUGUUGUUGUUGUCGCGUCCAUGGUUGUGGUGGGAGCCGAACCGUUCUCGCUCUUUGUCUUCUUCAUCUGCCCACUGUUGUACCAUAACUUUAAGGUCUUUGACAUUAGCCGGUCGUCGUCGACCGAAGUCUUGGUAUGUUCGUCGAUCGUAGAGUCCGUUCUGGAAGCACUCGAUGACGUCUGUCUCUGAAAUGUCAACUAUGGUUACCUUCUUUUCGAAGAACCGUCGUAAAUAGUCCCGUAAGGUUUCGCCUUCUUUUUGCUUAAUUUGACUUAAGUCGAUCUUGUUGCCUGGUCUAGCCAUGGAGCCGGCGUAGUUGUUGGUGAAAGCUUUUGUCAAAUCUGCCUAAGAGUCAAUUGACUUGGGUUUGAGUGAUUCUAGCCACGUCAAUGGUGCAGGUUCCAUGCAUAUAGGGAAGUGGAUGACUUUGGUGUCAUUAUUGCCUCCGGCUGCCUGAACUGCCAAGGAGUAGCAUCGUAGCCAUUGGAUAGGGUCUUGCUUACCAUCGUACUUGGUAAUUCCUGUUGGCUUGAACUUGUCAGGUAGUCUUGUCUUCAUUACCCUAUUAGUGAAAGCAGGAAAGUGGUUGUAGUUGUCGACUUCUCGCUCACGCCGACUAUUGAGGAUUUCUCGUAGGUCACUGAAGUUUGACACUUCGUGGUUCUUCCGAGUAGGGCGAAUACUUUUUACCGAGUUGGUGCAGCUGGCCUAUCCAACAUCCUUAUGGCGUGUUGGGGUCUUGUGUUUGCUUGGGCCCCUGCUGUGUUGCCGAGGCUGGUUGACGACUUCAUUGUCGUUUCUUGGAGCAUCGUUGUUGUUGGCUGCAGCACCUCUGCUACCUUCUUGGUGAGCUGUGAUGCGAGGAACAGACGGAAUUGGUGAUUCUUUGUUGAGUAGCUUGUAGGCUUGCUCCGCGAGUUGUGUGAUUAGUCCGUUCCCGCACUGCACGAGCUGAGCUGUGGCUUCGUUGUCCCUGUCUUGAGGCAUCAACGUUAUUAAAAGAUUGAUAGAAGCGAUUGCCGCAAGUGGAGUAUUGUGCUCUUGAGCCUGAACUGCGUCGAAAGCUCUUUCAAUGUUUGUGAUGGGAAUAUUUGUAGCCAUCGGCUGCCGUCGCUCGGCUCGAGUAGCAUUGCGCAUCCUUCUUUGGUUCCUUUGAUCGGAGGUUUCAUUUUGUGGGGCGUCAGCUGUAGACUCGUCUUUUGAGAUGUUGUCGAGCUGUGCUAAUCGCCUAGGUGUUCUGUUCUGGCUAGUACCCGGGUUGUUAUUUUGAGUAAUAAUAAGGACUUCCCUGUCUGGGUAGUAGCUUCCGGAGCUUGAUGUUGCAAUCUCUGUGGAACUUUCCUCGCGAUUGGAAGUGAGUGGGACACCCUCUUGAUAUGGGAGGUUGUCUAUAUAAGCGACAAGGCGCGAGUUGUAGUCGCGGGCAAGAAGAGAUGGUCUCAAACCUGGCCAAUGUACGAAUCUACCUUGUGACGUUGAAGUUAUUACCAGUCCUUGGGCUAGACCAGAUAAUGGUAUCUCUGGGGGAUAAACCGAGUCGGAGUCGUCGUCUUCGUCGUGCCCGAGUUCGAGUUGAAUUCGAGUAAGAAAACCCUGGUGGACUUCGGCUGCAUUGCGGAGUCCGUGCGGAAACUGUUUUGGAGUCGAAGCCGGCUUGGGAAGUGACUGGGACCGACUAGUCCGAACCGAAGUCGAGUCCGACACGUAGUCGAACUCGAAGUUGUCGACUUUGAAAUCUUAGUUUUUUCUGACCAAACCCUCCGAUUUCUUCUCCGUUGAUGAUUUGGCACCAGAACGAACCAGCGCCAUCGGCGAUGCAGAGCCAGGAUCCAAAAACGAAGGUGGCGCUUGCUUCGAUAGUGAAGACGGGCUUGAUGAUGACCGUUGCCAUUGAGUUCGCGCUGAGAAACUCGACGAGUUCCCCUACCUGGCGCGCCAGCUGUUGGUAUUUUAGACCGGCAACCCGCCUAUGGGGUACCCUAGGUGGUUUUUGUGCGGUAAGGGUCGUCGAGAAUCAAGGAAUCAAUGGUGACGCAAGGAACACGAUUUAGACAGGUUCGGGCCGCUAGAUCGCGUAAUACCCUACGUCCUGUGUGUUGGUUUGUAUUGAUCUUGGAUGAGCCAGAGUUGUUCUAUUUGAGGGGUGUCCCUGCCCGCCCUUAUAUGCACGGGAGGGCAGGGUUACAAGUCUGAGUCCUAGUCGAGUACUACUACAGAGUUCUACUCGGUAUGGCCCGAGUAGUUUUCCAUACACAUACUUGACUAGUCCGAGUGGGAUACGCCUAUCCCUUAUCCUAACCAUAUCCGAGUACGUCCCUUAGUGGGCCGUCCAGGGUCUACUCGUGGGCCUGGGAUGCAUGCCCGACAUUUAGAUUGAUCUCUCUCCUAAUGGGCCCAACGGCCCAAUAGGACCUUGAUCCGCGCCCUGAUCGGGGGUGCUCACCCUAACAUUGGGUGGUGGGCCCCUGUCGUUCUGCGCUAUAUAAAGGAGGUGGGGGCCACGGCUCGGGGCACGAGGUUCGCUGCCGUCGCCAGCCACCCCGCUGUGGUGGAAACGCUCGGAUUAACUUAACUAAAGCAUGGUUAAGUCGUCUGACACGCGAUCACAUGCUUUAAUCAAGUUAAUUCGGCAGUCCGUCGGAUUUCACCCGAUAGAACCACUAUACAGGACCGGAUUAGCAGAGCUCACACAAAGGUGAGUGGUUCCAGAGAAUACAACAGACCAUCCAACAAUUAAACAAGUUCAAUAAUUUAUUACAACACUGUUUUGAAAAUCAGAGUUUCACAGAGUGUUUAAACAGUGGAAAAAGAUAAACCAUCGGAAGCUAGCGCCGGGGGUCGGAUGUCACUGAUGAGGCCGAUCAGGACAUCACUGAUCCCUCUCCUCGCCGUCCGAGGAGGGAUGCCACUCGACCGUCCACCCAGGAGGAAGCUGGGGAGGCCAAGUGCCACAAGCGGUAAACUCGGGAGCUUCAACAUCACCUGAAAGAUGUGCCACAACCAAGGCUGAGCUGCUAAGCUCAACAAAACUUAACCAACCGGUGGGAAACUACUCCACCAACUUCUAGACAUGCAAGGCUCUUUGGCUAAGGGGUUUGUUUUGCCAAAAGCGACUACAGUAGGUCCUUAUUUUCAAUAUUUUAGCUCAGAUUCUAAGUUCAUUAACUAGUCUAUAUUAGCAACUUAUGCUAAACAAACAUAGUUUUCAAACAACUUAAUGAACAAGCAUCAAGGUUCAUAUCAUCAUCAUCCAUCUUUACUCAGUGUAGCAUAGUGAUCAAGUAGUCUCAAUCUGUGACAGGCAGACGAAUCGAUCCGAAUUUCUUAACCGUGCAUGGCGAACCUAAUCUCACGACAUCCGUGCACCACAGAGGGUCGCUUCCCUUGUCAGUCGUCCCCAUCAAUCCCCUGACCCGUGUCAGGCCCACUUCUCUUGGUACAAGGCUCCACGAACCCGACCUCUGCCGUUCUGUGACCACACUUGUCACCACAUGCGGCCGCAAGGGAAAAAUCUCUGUUCCAGAGAUAGUGGAUCGAACCGCUCACGUCUUGGUUCAAUCAAGUACUAGGUUUCCCCAUCCCAUACUAGGUAUGAUAUUAGUACUUUCAAACACUUGAUGACGAACACUAUAACAUCUCGACCUUAGUCCAAUUUCAAGUAGACAGACGGGGCAAUCCACCAACCACCAAAAUAGUUCACAAGGCCCUGCCCCGUCCACCGUCCUUAUAGUGGUGCCAAAGGAGAACAAGCAACUCCUAUAAAUCGCGAGUGACAGGGAAUCACUCGACUUUUACCGAGUCCUGUUAAGCACUGCAACUACUCGGCCUAUCAUGCUAGUGUUCAGAUCAAGGGAACUAAGUCAUGCAUCUAUGGUUUCAAACAACUCCUGUAACGUAAAUGCACAUACAUACAAAUGAAGGCAUGCACAAGUUUCGAAAGACUGGGUUAUGCUUCGGGACUUACCUUCGAGAGGCGUGGAAGCGAACUGAUCUUCGGCGCUCUCAGGUUCAGCUCCUGCAGGCGGCAGCUCGGCUACAACUCCGUCUUCUGGCAUCGGGUGCAGCUCGUACGUGCCAUCAGCGAGGUUUAGCUCUACACGAAAUGCAAAUGCAAGGGUCAACAUUUAGGUGGUUAUUUCAACAACACUUGCAAGAUUUAGCUAGAAACUGUAGGAAAACUACAGGAAAGGUGUGAAAUCCCAUUUUAUUGGAUUCUACUCAGAAAGAGGAUUCCAACCCAAGUGAUUUCACAUUUUUCUGAGUUUUCCUCGAUUUAAGAUGAAUUUCCCAAGCUUGGUCGAUUCAGACAAGAAUAAAGAGUCGGACCGGGAAAAACUUACGAUCUGACCCUUAGACCUACGGAAUAACUGUACCGGAGUCCUCAGACUUAACACAGAGAAGUCUCUGAAAUUUUACACAGAUACCCUUGGUUCAAAGAAAAGGAUACAGUCGAGCCCUCGGGUGAGGCGGACAAGGGUUGGGCGAAGCAGAUAGGGGUCGGGCGAAACGGAAAGGGGUCGGGCGAAAUGGACAGGGGUCGGCAGCUUACCUUUGGGCCUACCGACGAAGGCUUGGGGUCGGGGAGAAGCAAACUCAGGCGGAACGUCGAAGGGCGUUUAGGGUUCUGGCGGUGGCGAGGUCCGGCGGUGUUCUGGCGGCGGCAGUGCUUCUUGUGGACAACAAGUAAGCUCUAGCUCAGCGCGGAUGAAGCAAGUGGCUGGUGGGUUUGGAAAGGCGGGUGCUGAGCGGAGAGGGGGAGUUCCUCAAAGAGCUUAUGCGGCAGCGCUUGAGCACGAAACAGAGGAAGAUGAGGCAAAGGCAACGAUGGCGAAGGGAACUUCGGUAGAGGCUCUGGUACCCCUUUUAUAGCUGCGCGGAAGAGAAGGAGUUCGGGCAGUGUGAGGAUAAGGUCGAAGAGGAUAGAGUGCUCUGCCGUGGCGGCGAUUGGUCGACGCCUCCAUUGACCGGUGAAGCGGAGCUCCGGGGACAGGGUCUUACGGUAUUGGGCACUGAAGACAGCGCUAUGCAGGCGCGGUUUUGCCGGACGGAAGGAUUUGGCGAGGUCGAGCGCGUGUAUGGUAGCGUCAGGUGCCGGAUUGGCUGCGGUGGCUCUGUAUCGGCGGACAGGAGGGAGAGAGAGACAGGCGAGGGCGCUGCAGGCGAGGUGACAAGGCAAGCAGCGACGCUAGCAGGCGCGGGACUAGCGGCUUUGCCGUGGCACGCUACUGGCGAGGCGAGGGAAAUGAGUCGUCACUGCCGGCGCAGUGGUUGGCGAAGACGGUAUCGUCGCGGGGCGCGCGCGUGGGCAGCGCGACUGAGGAACGACGGAAAAGCCAGAAGACGUUGGGGCGCGCGGCCGGGGAUCUUGGUGAGGAGAUGUGCGCGGGAGGCGAGGCGGACUGGCGCGGCAGCGGCCAAUCUUCGGUCGCAGCGGCAGCAGGACGCCUGGCACGGCCGGCGAGAUCUCGGGCGGGACGAGACGGGGUGGAGAGUUUGUAGGGCGCUUCUGCGCGUGAUUGGGAAGGAGGCGCAUUGAUCCAUCUUGUCGCGGCCGGCGACUGGGCGAGGCGACGCUCGUCGGUGAGGUUACGCCACGCGGAAGAGAGGCUCUGAGACAGGGCGCACGCUCACUCUGGCGCGCUUGGCCCGAGAGAACCGUGGGAUCCUUUUUCUGGGUCCAUCUUCCGGUCUCUAGCUCUCCCAAUUUCUGAACUGCACCACCUUGACUCCCUUAACAAGAGUUGUAGAACUCAGGCCAAGGCCCAACUCUUGUAAUUGGACCGAGUUCAAAAACGCAAUGGAUUUGGGGAUCCAAAGCUCCAAAGUUUGGAGGAACACUGGUUUCGGGACUUAGAGACAAACAGCGGGUUGCUGAGUUUCAGGGGUCGGGGCUGAUUUGAACUGUAGUUUUGGGGAUCUUCGGAGGUGAAUUGGACCAAGGUCCAACUAACAAAAUUGUAGCAGGGACUUCGUUCUCCAACUUCCAUAAAGGAAUUUUCUGGACGUUCAGCUCAACUUACCAAAGAUAAGUCCGCCCUAAGGCGUGAGAUCAGACUAAUUUUUCAGACUUAGCCAUAAUGGCUAAAGGAGUUUUAAUUGACCAGAUCAGGAAACUUGUCUUAAGAUUAAGCUCGGCUGAUCUAAACCUAAGUCGUUACACCCACCUACAUCCCUAAUCCGAUCUAUAGGGGAGGCGCAGAAGCGACGGGAAGACCGCCACCGCUGCGCCCACGACUCUGCACUUCGCGUCGCUGCCUAGCGCAGAUUCUCACCAUGGCCGGAAGUUCCAGCUCCUCAGCUGGCGAGGGUAUCUCUCUCUCUCUUAGCACUAGAACACCACAAGAACUCCACUGUUGAAACCGAAAUAACCCGAAGAUCUACUGCUAGUCGAUCCAAUAGAACUAACACUUCACACUGCACCUGAUUGAGAAAAGGUCCGAAUCCUUCUUCUCCCUCCUCUAGUCUUCGGGCUGCUGGGAUGCUAGCUUUGGCUUUUACAUCAGUGGGCCAGGCGCCAACUGGUGGACGGCGAGCCGGCAGUGCCGUAGUGGUGAUAGGCGGGAAGAUCCCGGACUCCCGGAGAGCUGGGAUUCAGCAUGCCGUUGGACUUUCAGUUCGCGAUCUGCUAAUUUGGGUAGCCUCUGAGGUAGUAGUAGUACCAGCUAGCGCACUAUCAGUGGUAGUACCAGCGUGUCUAGAGUUCUCCCACUUGUACUUCCCCUUCCGGUGCUUUGUGCAGAUCACUGAUAGUGCUCCAGCAGCAUAAUCUUGAGCCAGCCUUGGUGCUGCGGUAAAAGAGGUGGCGUGAAAUGUCAGUUAAAAUAUGCGGUAUGAAAUAAUGUUUCUAAACCAAGACACUCUACUGUUUUAUACAGGCAAAAUAGCUAUUUUGAUCCCAGGAUCCCUCAACUUCUAAAAUGGUCAAUCUAAUUUCUCAAUUUUUGUUUUGGAUCAAACAUGAGACUUCAUAUUAGCUUAAAAUUAAUGCGAGAAGUCAUGUUUGCCCUUGGCCUCUUCUUCCCCUCCUCAAUUAUCCAAAAUAAGUAUGAGCAUAUAUAUAUGUUUACCGAGAGAGUACGAAUAUAUACCUGAAGCAUGUAUACACUACCAUGAGUACUUUAAAUUAUGUGUACUAAGUUGUGUAUAUCAUGAAAGAGUAUCAGCACCUACAUUUUGCGUAUCAAAAUUUAAUCCGUGUGAACACAUGCAUGAUUUUAAAGAGUACGAGAACAUGUAAAACUAUAUUUUAUAUCAGUUAAAAAAUAUAUUGAUGUGUGUAUGUAUCAAGGGAGUAUGAGCAUAUACAUGUUUGAUCUUCAUGAGUCAAGGGUAAAAUAGACUUUUCACAUUAGUCUCAUACUAAGAUAUAUAGCACCACAUCAGCAAAAUGAUGAGUUUGACCUGAAAACGGAAGUUAAGGGAGUAAAUUGACCUAUCUGAAAGUUGAGGGGCAAACUUAACCUUUCGUGUAAAAUUCAGGGAGUAAAAUGAAGAAUGAGUUUGACCUAAACGGGUAAAAUUCAGGGAGUAAAAUGAAGAAUGGGUUUGACCUAAACGGAAGUUAAAGUUGAGGGAUGAACUUGCAAAAGUUUAGGGACUAAAAUGUCUAUUUUGCCUUUUAUAUACAGUUGUUAGUUCCCAGACCAUUUUGCCUCGACAAGCAACACUAGCCAAGUCCAAGAUGGGCGAGGCGGUCAAGCUCAUCGGCUCCGGCAGCAGCCCCUUCGUGCACCGCGCCGCUGUGGCGCUGCGCCUCAAAGGCGUGCCCUACGAGUUCAUCCGCGAGGACAUGGGCAACAAGAGCGAUCUGCUUCUCCAGCACAACCCCGUCCACAAGAAGGUGCCCGUGCUCCUCCACGGCGGCCGCGCCGUGUGCGAGUCCCUCAUCAUCGUCGAGUACGUCGACGAGGCCUUCCCGGGGCCGCCGCUCCUCCCCGCCGACCCCUACGACCGCGCCGCCGCCCACUUCUGGGCGCACUUCCUCGACGACAAGUGCCUCAAGUCGCUGUGGCCGGCGCUGUGGACGGAGGGCGAGGCGCAGGCGGCGUCAAUGGCGGUGGCGAGGGAGAACCUGGCGAUACUUGAGGAGCAGCUCAGGGGGAAGAAGAAGAAGAGGUUCUUCGGCGGCGAUUCCAUCGGCCUCGUGGACAUAGCCGGGGCCGGGUUGUUCGCGCACUGGCUCGGCGUGCUCGAGGAGGUCGCCGGGGUGCGUGUCCUGAGCGACGAGGAGCACCCGGCCCUGCGCCGCUGGGCGAACGAGUACCUCGCCGACGAAGCCGUCAAGGAGUGCCUGCCGGACAGGGACCAGCUUGUGGCCCACUUCUCCGCGAACAGGGACAAGUGCAUCUCGAUAGCCAAAUCCAUGCUGCCGCCGAAUUGAUGGAGUUGCUUGAAACGAUGAUCGGCGUUGUAUUAUCGUGACGGUGACAUCUAUUGCUGUUUCUUAAGUGUCAGAAAUAAAAGGCGACAGUGUUGCGAAUUUGUUCUCUUACAGAGUGUUGUUUCCUAGCAGCUUCGUCCCUCCCGUCUUCCAUCAUUGGUCAAUUGACUCUCCUUUGUAGCAGUAUUCUAGUAGAAGCCAUCAUUAGGAGAAGCCAUCGGCCUCGCGGACAUAGCCGCCGGCGGCCUGCUGGCGCACUGGCUUGGUGUGCUCGAGGAGGUCGCUGGAGUGCGUGUCCUCAACGAUGAGGAGGAAUACCCGGCUCUGCGCCGGUGGGCGGCGGAGUACAGCUCCAGUGAAGCGGUGAAGGAGUGCCUGCCGGACAGGGCCCGGCUUCUCUCCUACUUCGGCGCCAUCAGGGAGAAGUGCGUCUUGGUGGCCAACUCGACGCUGCCCAAAUAAACAUUGAGCUCAUCAUCAUCGUCAUCUAGUAAUGCUUUAGCAUGUUUGGUUGCCCGUCACCGUCACCGCCUGCCACCUCCCCACCCCACCCUGCCGGCCACCUCCUCUCGCCUCCCCCGCCGCCGCCCCGCCGUGCUAGAUCUGCUAUGGGGAGAGAAGAGAGGAAGGAGAGAGGAGUGGAAGUCCUCUCUGUGCCGCUCUGUGCUGUGCCGCUGUGCGCUGUGCUUAAAAAAAAAUCUUAAAUCCUCUCGCGGGAGGGGCUCGAACCGGUAGUCGAGGUCGGGUUCCAUCCGCAUCCGGCGCUGCGCUGGAGGGUCGCCGAGGACUUCCGAUUUUAGAAUCAAUACUAAUGCUGCUAAUAUUAGUAUCAAGUUCAAAAAUAAUCGGUACUAAAGCUAAGGACGAGAGAUGGUGGCCGGUUCGUCAAAUGUCUCGUCGAUGUACUCAAGGAUGACGAGGGACUCGCAGAUGGUGCGAUCGCCAUGGAGGAGCACAGGAACCUUCUCAUGGAUGGGGUUGUGCGUGGGGAGCAGCUCGCUCUUGUUCUCCAGGUCUUCGAGGAUGAGCUCGUAAGGCACGCCUUAUGGAAGAAUAUAACUCGAUAAUAGACAUUGUUUCUCGUAAAAAGAUAGUUCCAAACUAUAUGAGAUCGAGUACUUAGAAGUCCGAAAUAAUUAAUUUAGAUUAAAAAUGAUCAAAAAAAAAUACCGCCGCCUUGCUCGGCGCGGUGCCGUGAGUCCAUGCGCCGCACGGUCGUCCCAAGGGGAACUGGGAAGGGGCUCUCCAGUCGUCCGGCGUCCGUGAUGCCGCGCGCCCGCGCCAAAAAGCCUCGCCCGAGGGAGCGGAUGGCCGGAGCGGCGCGCGCCGUCCGCGAGACCGCGACGAGACAAAGACGAAUAGACGAUCAGAAUCAGACGACGAAGCGGAAGGAAUGAGAACGGCGAUUCGCAUUCGGCCUCAGCGACGCGAGCACUCGCGUGUCGUCACGUGACUCGCGUCACGUUCGCGUAUACGCGGUAGGUCUACACUCUAAAGCCCGGCCCAUGCAUGCAGCUUGCAGACUUGAGACGAGCUGCCAUCAUAUCCCGUGGGGUCCGGAGCCUGGGCCCCUCCCUCCCAUGGGCCGUAGCCCGUAGGCCAUCGCAUCCGAUGCACCCUUGCAGGGCCGGCACUGCAUCGGGCAGAUAAAAAUUAAUUGCUGGAAAACCCCCCCUAGUCUUAGCGAAAUUCGAAAGGAAACAGUGCCUUUCUCAGUCGUACAAUGCUAUAGGCGACACGAUGAUUGACCGUCAUUUUCAUCUCCGGAGGUCGAACACAAUUAUUUGGGCAUCUGAACAUGGAAGAGGAAAAAAAUGGCAAGAAGCUCAAUCUUCCGGGACAAGCAGCUGGCAGCCAUGAAAUCCUAAGGAUAUGUACAACCCACAGACAGUUUGUCGUCUGGAUGAUGAUGUCACACCAUAUAAAGACACCUAAAUAGACAGCGUGUACAAUCCAUUAUUUGUUUGAUUGUCUGUUAAGUCUUUAAUGCCCGUAUGUAGCCACGAUCAAUCGUAAAUAAGACUUGUGUAUACUAUUGUAAAUAAGACUUGUGUAUACUAUUGUGUUGCUUGUUGAAAAAAGAAAGAUCAAGCAUAAAUAAGAUGCUUUUGGAAACAUAAAUAUAAAAGAUAUUCUAAUAUAUUUAUAUUAAUGUAAUAGAACAAAAUCCUAGAGUAGGCCUCUACGAUAGCGUGCACCACGUCCUGCAUAUGUACACAGCAGUCAUUCUUCAGUCCAUGUUCAGAGUUACCUCAUUUUAGACCUAUCGAACAUCUUCCACAUUGUUUAGAAUCAGCAAAAGGCUGUACUUAACAAAUAAAUAAGUUAGGUGGAUACUUGCCUUUGGGAGGGCAUCCAUAACAGCUGCAGGAAUAGGCAUAUGGCAUAGGACUUGUUCAUUGAUGGAUUUUGCAGCUUUGAGGAUCUGAUGAACAAGCUUAGCCUGAAAUUGUUGAGAACUCAUGCUGAAAUUAUUCAGCAACUAGAUCCAUGAGUUUUGAGUGAUUACCAAGGUGCAUCCCAAGCUGCUAAACGUCCAAAUCCAACGCAAGAGGGAUCAUUGCCGGCUGCAUCCCACCAAGCUAGGGACGUUGAAGGGGGAACGUGCGGUGGCGGCGCGUCCCUGCUAGCAGCAGCGGUGCAGCCUGGCGCGGCGUGCGGUGGCGGCACCUCGCGCCUGGCCAGCAGCCUCAGCGCGGCCAUGGCGCACGAGAGGGGGCCGAUUCGGCACCUGCGGAGCUCGAAUGGACAGCGGCGGAGCUCGAGUCGGCGCCUGCGUCGAUUCAGCGCCUGCGAAGGUUGAAUCGGCGGUGGAGGAGCUCCUCCUGGCGGCCCGCGUGAGCACGCGAGCAGCUUGCUCGAUGCAGGAGAGCAGCCUAGCGGCCAGCUGGGCAAGCUUGCCGGGCAAAGUGGCGAGGUGAGCAAUACCAAGUGGCUUGCCUUGCUCGGCGUGGGACAACGGAUCCACGUCGCCAUCAAUUUGACCUUCGCGCGGGGAAAGCGAGGACGCGGGGAGAGGAGGUGGAGAUGGAUUUGGCGCGCAAAAAUCCUGCGCGCGCCCAAAUCAAUUGCUGUCCGCACGGGAUUCAAGCGUGCGGUGUUCCUCGUCAUCUUUUCCCGCCUCGGAGCAUGGACGCGGCCGCCGUCACACGAGGCUGAGAGGAGGUUGUUUUUGCAAAAAUACCGGCUCGCAGACGGCUCCUAGACACCCGUUGUAUCGUGCCCUAAAAGCUCAAUCUUCCGGGACAAGCAGGUGGCUGCAACAAGUUAAAACCCUUUAAUCACAGUGCCACCGACAGCCGUGUGUUCAUCCCUAAGGGCACUUUUAACAGUUUAGACGGCUGCCGUCUGUAAGUCAUGUAUAGACAGUGAAACCGACAGCUUGUACAAUGAUGUAUUUUUAAGUUGUCUGCAAGUUAUUUAAUUCAUUCAAAUCAAGGUGAUUAGGUAUAAAUAUGAUCUAUGUAUGCCAUUUUGUUGCUUGUUCACUCAAUACAAUGCAUGCUACCCCAUAUUAUGGACACAUAAAUUUGACAUAGAAGCAUAAAUAUAAUAUAUAUUUGUAAUAAUUGAUCUUUGCAAUACAUAAUAUGGUUAGAUAAUUCCAUGUGCUCUUUCUGUGAGGUGAAUGUAGCUCUCUCUUUUUCCAGAGCUAAAGCACUUUCUUCCCUUUCACUUCUAUCUUUAUCAGUAGCAUUCACAUUUUGAGUACCACCAGCACCUCCUUGGCACUCACCACCUGUGCAAGGGCUACAAGUUUCAAUUUUAUCAGUAAAUUUGGCAAUUGCAGGUCCAUACUAAACAUGAGGCCUAGGACAAGCUACUCUACCUGAAAUUGGAAGUAGGAUCUUCGAGGUUACUCGGUGGAUCCGGAAGUAUAAAACAGUGCCCAGUUGCCAGUUGGAGAGCAGGAGAUAUUUCUGAUAUAGCUCUCAGUGAAUUACAACAUGAAGAAUUAGCAUCUGCUUCCUUGAAAGUUUUUUCACCUGGAUUCAUGGUAUCCUCUUUAGCAGAAACGCUUUGGUCAGCUAAUUUUGUUCCUGUUUCUGAAGAAUUAGCAUCUGCUUUCUUGAAAGUUUUUUCAUCAGUGCUCUCUUUUCCUUCUGCAUUGUCAUCUACAUCCAUUUCCUCAGGCACAUCAAAAGUGCCAGUUUGGCAAAUCCUGUGUAAUCUUCUGAGGUGUUUCACUGAAUUCUUUACCAUCUAGAAAGGAAUCGAAAAUUGGCAUUUGGAGGAAGUAUAGCGUGCACUGUUCUUUUGUUUUUGUAACAACAUGCUCAGCAAUCUCAUCCCAUUCUUUUCCUUUAAAAAUUUCUAACGCUUCCAAAAGAAGCAAUGUCUCCUGGUCAGUCCAGUUAGAACCACCUGAGCCCGGAACCUCUGCAUAUUCCAUAAGGACGAAAUCAGCAUUUGACAUGCCUUCGUCAAACUUUCCUACAUGUGAAUCUCGGCAAGAAGAGUCACGGCUCACCUCUUCCCCUCUGUUCGCCCGCCGGCGGCGCGUCAUCUUUAGUCCCCGGUCGGGAGCAGCCCCAGAUGAUGUGGAGCCGCAGCGACGACGCGUAGGCGCUACUCUUCGGCAGCGGCGCAAGCUCGUGUCGAUGUGGAGAUGGAGAGAAGGGAGUCGCGGAUCUGGAGGCCGGAGGGGAGCUCGCGACGGGGGAUUUCGAUCUGCUCUCGCAGGAGGGGGCCUCGCCUCCGAUGACGCCGCGGAGAUGGAGGAGGCGUGGCGCGGCGGCAGCCCAGCUAUCCGGCCUCACCUCCCGUCGGCGUCUCGCGCGGAGGGAGGAGGUGUGGCGCGACGGCGGCCCAGCUAUCCGGCCUCACCUCCCAUCGGUGUCCCGCGCAGAGGGAGGGAAGUGGUUGGAAUCGGUUGGAGCAGCGCGGGCUGAUUUUGCACUCGAUCCGGAGGUGCGCCGAUGGAUCGUACAACGGCGCCUGGAGGUCGUCGCCAGGUGUUAGAGCAUGAGCACGCGCCGUCGUCUCGCGAGAUGACGGCGCGCCCGUCGCUUGGCUCAAAUGAGGACGUUUUUGCAAAAACGCCAGCUCGCAGACGGCUCAUAGUCGCCCGUUGUACGUGCCCUAAUGAGUAUCGAACGAGCCAUUACCAUUAGCAGUCAACACUCAACAGUUUAGUUUCCCUAGGAAGGAUAGCGCUUCUUCGGCGGCGACGACUCCAUCGGCCUCGUCGACAUCGCCGCCAGCAACGUGGCUCACUGGCUCGGGGUCAUGGAGGAGGUCGGCGGGGUGACGCCGCUGCUCACGGACGAGGAGUACCCCGCGCUGUGCCAGUGGGCGAAGCGCUACGCCGGCGACGAGACCGUGAAGCAGUGCCUGCCCAAGAGGGACGAGCUCUUUGCCAUGUACUCUGGGUUCAAGGAGAUGUUCCAGGCCAUGGCGACGUCGCAAAAUCAGUGACAUGUUUCAGUGCCAAAAAAAAGUGUGCUGCGGACGUGUUAGUAACGAUCAAGAUGUUCUUCGAUUGGAAUAAGAAGGCGAUUAUCAGUUAUCAUCAUAGUCGUUUUCUUUAGCACGACUCUUCUCCUGCUCAGAGCAGUGGCUCGUUUCGCAGAGCUUCAGUUGUGACUUUUCCAGUGAAAUGAUGUUUUAGCUACAACUUGUCUGAUUAGAAAAAUAUUUGGUAAAACAGCUUCUUCUAACGGCGUAACAUAGAUAAAAAUAAUGAAAUAUCUAUAAUACAUUUAUCCUUUUUAUUUUUCUUUUUUCUUCCAAUUUUUUCUCAUCUCUUUAUUCCCCUUCACUUUUUUCUUUUUUUAUUUCUCCUCUUAUCUUCUCCUCCUAUUCUUUUCCCUAUCAUCACCUUCCUACUAGCGCCGCUUCGCUCCCUGCCAGCGCCGCCGGUGUCCUCCGUCCCCGCGCGCCCACUCCACCGCCUUCCAAACCCCACGACUGCACCGUCCCACCUUUGGGCGUCGCGCCGCUCCAACCUCCUGCAUCCGUGCCGCCACCAUCCGGCCUCCCCGCGCCCACUCUGACGGCGUCCUCCGGCCUCCUCACGCAAGCUGGGGACUUUUAGCAUCCGCACCCAGGGGCAAGCUGGAACUUUGCCCCGCACGGAGGAGAUGAAGCCGCAAGGAGCUGGUAUUUUAGGCUUCUCCUCCCUCUCCUAGCUCCUCUCGGAGGGAAUUGCGGGACUCCUCCCAUGGAGCCGUUUCGUGAGCGGUUGUUUGGCACGACUUUUUGAGAAGUCGGUUGAGAAGCCGCUCAAGAAGCCUUGCCAAAUGGGGCCUAGGGAUGAUCAACACUGGUGUUUGACUAUUUGUGUUUCUUCUCCGCCGUUAGAUCUGCGUGUACUAUGAUCAGGCCCGUUCCUUUCUUUUGACCAGUCAACGACGCCCGCCACAACCUUCUUCCCCGUUCGCUCGCAGUCGGAGACUCAGGAGAUUUAAUUAUUUAACACUUUUACAAAGGCCACACCUUCAUUUACCAGUUUUAGAAUAGCUUCUACACUUUUGCCACCGCCUAACAUUUGAGCCAACAUAUUUGCCACUUUAUCCUACGUGGCACGACACCUCCUCCCUCCACCGCGGAUCAGGCAUGGGAAAUGACCAUCGUACCCUCACUUAUCCGUUACCCUCCUCCCAGAUCCGACGCCUGGGAUGUGCCAGUCGAUGGUCGGCGACCUGCUGGUAGUUGCCGCCGAUGAAGCCGUCGCCGUAGAUGAGGCCGGCGAGGCCACCACCGAUGAGCGGGCCGACCCAGUAGACCCAGUUGCCGGCGAAGUUGCCAGCGGCGACGGCGGGGCCGAAGGAGCGGGCGGGGUUCAUGGAGCCGCCGCUGAAGGGGCCGGCGGCAAGGAUGUUGGCACCGACGAUGAAGCCGAUGGCGAUGGGGGCGAUGGUGCCGAGGGAGCCCUUCUUGGGGUCGGCGGCGGUGGCGUACACGGUGUACAGGAGCGCGAAGGUGAUGAUGAUCUCGAACACCACGCCCUCCAGCUCGCUGAUGCCGGCGACGCCGUGGGUCGGGAUGGCCUUGCCGUGGGUCACGAACUUGAGGAGCAAGCAGGCCACGGAGGUGCCGAGCAGCAGGGCGACCCAGUAGAAGAGGCCGGUGAGGAUGGUGAUGUGGCCGCCGACGGCGAGGCCGAAGGUCACGGCGGGGUUGAGGUGGCCGACGGAGAUGUUGGCGGCGACGGAGACGCCGACGAAGAGGGCCAGCGCGUGGGCGAACGCGAUCGCCACCAGGCCGGAAGCGUCGAGCGCGCCGCCAUGGCUCAGCUGCCCUGCACGUACACGCACGGCAAGUAAUCGAUUGAUCAGCACGCGGAGUCAAAGUGCCUCGAGAUCGACGGAACAGCAGACCUCACCGUAGGUGAUGGCGGAACCGACGCCGGCGAAGGCGAAGAGGAGGGUGGCGAUGAACUCGGCCACGUAGGCCAUCUCUCUUCAUUUUCUCAUUGCCUGUGCUGCACCACUAUGUUUAGAGUCGGAUCCUCACUUGUUAGCUCCAGAUAACUAAUGCUGAUCAAAUGCACUAUGGAUUCAAGAUAAAAUGCAUGAAUUCAUCGACACAGUUAACAGAUACAACCAAAAAGAUACUCUAUGUAAUGUAAGUUCAUGCAGACCAGGAUGAAAGCACAGCCGAAAUGAAACUGUACCUUAUGCUUUACACAGGCAAGAACAUUUCGCCGACACUUUCAGCUUAUGUGGUGGUGGUGCCACGUCGGACCAGCGUGGACGUCCGUGGCGCCACUCCCGGUGUCAGGCGGUGCCAUGCUGAGUACAGUGACGCCGUGCACAACGUCACGGUCAUGCGGCCCCACGUGUUCCUCCCGUUCCCCUCGGUAGUUCGACGAGGCCAUGAACAGGUUCUCCUUGCGCUCUGCAAAACAUGGCGUCAUUACCAAAUAGCACUACCUGGCUGAGCUGAUUAGUCAUUCGUGAACUGAACUCACAUGCAAGGGAAACAUGACCGGCGUGACGAGCGUGCCGUCGCUGGGCGGCGGUUGAGCCUUCGAGCUGUUCUACAACGGUUCUUGAAGUGGCCGGUCAGCUAAGACCCUGGAGAGAGCAACCUGAUGGUGGCCCGUCUGAUUAAUUUCAUGAAUGGAAGGGCGUACUUGUUAGCUUCAGAUGAAAUGCUCAGGAUCAAAUAGAUGAAUUCAUCACCGAAGUUACAUUAAUUGAUACGGCCGGAAAAAAAAACUCUUAACCAAUUUCAUGCAGGCAACGAUAUAAUUAAAGAGACUACGAUCAAGAGAAAAAUCUUGGUAAACCGUACCUACCUGAUGCUUUACACAGGCAACGACGUUUGGACGAAGAUACCCGGCUCUCCUUGUAUACAUAAUGCAUACGGAAUUUGGACAGCUAACCAUCAUUUCAAACAAAAUACAAUGAGCUGCUGAAAAGCUAACUAUGAUUUGAGAGGCCGGUAGUAUAUGGUAGAUCCUUGACAGGCCUCAAGGUAGCCUGCCAAAAAUUGAAAAUAAAAAAUGACUCGAGACUUUAGAAAUUCAUAUUUAGUCGCGAUCGACUAAUUUGUCCGCACAACCGUUAGCCAAGUCACAGAAAUUAAAGAAAAGCAUGCACUGUAAGUUAUCUGGCAGAAAAGAAAACAACAUCCAUAAGGAGGUUCUCACCAUGCUAGAUGAGGUGUGAAGCUUCUGUUACUCGAAUUCAACUUCUGGAAUAUGAGCGAUCUUGUGCUUGUCCUCUCCUUGGCACUUCUCUGACAGUGCUGGGCAGUCCGUGAUCCGCAGUUUCUUUAACUCAGUAAGACGCUGUAUGCUUUCUGGCAGUGAAGAUAGCAUUGGGCAUGAGACGAUUUCAAUUUCUCUCAAAGAAGUUAAAUCUCCCAGCCAUUCUGGCAGUGUCUCCAAGUCAUCACAUUCCUCUACGUUGAAUUUCCGGAGGGAGAUGAAGCAUCGGAUAACCUCUGGCAAUGUUGUAAGACCCGUGAGGGACAAAAGAACAAGGUUCUCGAUAGAACAGAGAUACCGGGCCCUAUGCCACGCUUCAGGAGAAGGAGAUGUGCCCAUUAUACAAAGGACAUAUGGAGAAGUGAUAGAUGAGAGGUUCCCAAACCCAUGUUCCGGCAAAACGUGAUCGCUAUUCUCUACCGCCCAGGUCACGCUCCUUGGGGGAUAAGGCAGGAAUUUCAACUUUGGGCAAUCAAAAGCAAGCAGCAGAUGUAAAUUAGGGAUUAAGAACUCUUCAUCUUCAUUAGACGUUCUCGUUGUCCACCACCCUUCCAAGUUGUCCAUUCCGUUCAAAAGAAUCAUUCUUAGCUUCCAGCAACUUCCGUAGUCCCCAUAAAAUUCCCUCCCGACACUUUUGAGAUUGGGCAUUCUACCCAACCACAAUGCUCUCAAAUUUGGCAGGCGCCCAAGUGGAGGGAGGUGGCUGCACCCUUUCAGAUUGAGAAGAACGAUGGUGGAAAGAUGAGGUAGGUAGGAAGGAAGCUCCAGCAUCCACCUAGAGAAGUCUAUGCUCAUGUAACCAUUAAGAUGAAGGUGUCGGAGAUUUCUAGGAGGCACAAGCUUCUCCAGCACCGAUUUGUCAACCGAUGCAUCUGCAUGCUCCACCAUACUACUUUCACCAUGUCCCCAUGAAAGCCACAGACUCGUAAGAUUUGAGCUGUUCAACAGUUUUGCCUGGUCUGCCCCUUCCAGAUUCUUGACAUUCUGAAGAUCUUUGAUCUGCAGCUCAAGGCAGGGUGUCUUCUCGAGCUCUAAAAUUUGACUCCAUAGAUCACCACGUCCAUCAAGCUCACAUGACCUUUUCAGGUUUAGUUGUUCCCUAAGUUUAUCAACUUUAGAUUCUAUAAGGUCUGCAAAAAAUGCUGUUUCGACAUGUACAAGUGUAGACAUGUUAAAAAUGCUAUCCGGCAAGCCAUCAAGGAAAAGGCAGCCUUCCAGAUCCAAACUCUGGAGUCGUAAAACACCAAUAGAAGCAGGCAGAUGUUUAAGUUUUACACAGAACGACAAAUUUAGAUGCUUUAACAUCAUGAGUUUGCAUAGAGACUCGGGCAACAUUUGAACCUUGGAACAGCUUGUCAUGUUCAGAUACUCAAGCUUAGAAAGUUGAUCAAUACAAUCUGGGACCUUUUCAAGAUUAUGGCAAUCUGACAGCUCAAGAUGUGUUAGAUCAUGAAGUUGACAGCAAGAUUCUGGUAGUGAGUGGAGUUUGUAGCAAUCGGAUAGGUUCAAAAACUGAAGCUUAUGCAACUUGCCAAAGGAUUCUGGAAGGGUAGGCAGUUCAUGGCAGCUUGCCAAGUUUAAGAAGAGCAAAGCACUGAGGUUACCGAAAGAGGUGGGAAGUUCAUGAAGGUUGACACAUCCUGAUAGGUCAAAGUAUUGCAGCUUUUGGAGGCAACCAACGUUUGUGGGCAGUGCCUUCAGAGAAGUGUUUGAAAGUAUCAAGGUUUGCAAGUUUAGGAGACGGUUCAAGGAUUUAGGAAAGUUUGGGAUAGGAAGGUUGGAAGCAUCAAGAUACCUUAAUAGCUUUAGUUUACAAACAGAACCCGGUAGCUCUGACACAUGGCAUCCACUCAAAUCCAAAACUCUCAGAUAUAAUGCUUGUGAGAAUGCUUGCUUAGGAAGAUGCAGUUUAUUGCAUUCUCUGAAAUGCAUGGCCCUAACCUUUGGUGGCAAAGACUUAAAGGCUGAUGAAGACUCCUCAUGAUUCAUCAAUAGCUGAUAGUGACAGUUCCGAUUGUCUGUUCUAUUGUUGUGCAUCAUUGUUUUUACAUAUGAAAAUUCUUCACUGGCAACAUAUCUUGUGAGAUCAUGUACCACAUCAUGCAUAUGGAAUUUCAGUGUGGGUUUGAACCUCCCGGAAUCAAGUACCUUGAAACACAAGGAAAUUAAAAGAAUCAUUAAUUAGAAGAUUAGAAUAUGAUAGUAGUCAGAGACUGGAUCAAAGGUUUCAGCUGGGCUUUGUUAUGGAUAAAUUAAAAAACUGUCAGUAAGACAACUAAUUGUUACAGAUGCGGAGGUUCAUAUCACAAUUAUAUAUACCCUAAAGAGAUUUUUUGUAUUAUUUGUGGAAUUGACACUUAUAUAUACUGUAUCAAUAAAAGGUGUGUUUGGCCAACAACCAAAAUCUGCUGCCAUUUGCUGCUCAUGGUUUAUGUAUGUGCUUUUCAGGCUCAAACAGUUAAAUGGGUGUAGUUACCAUGAAGAAAGAUGAAUUAAAGUCCACACAGGUGGAAACAGGCUUUGGAGAACCUAGUCCUUGCAUGUUGGUAUGGAAAGAAAGAGAACAGUAAGGGCAAUAUGAGUGAAGAUAUUCGGAUUCUGAUCUGCAAGCUAAUUGGUGCUUUGGUUCAAGUUCUCAAGUGGCCUUCAGCUACAACAGUGAAUCCAAGAUUACUGUUUCAGACAGUGGAAACAUAACUAAUCAGUUUUGCAAGGUUAGUUCAACUGUUGGUUCAUUGAAGAAGUAUAUACAGAAACAUUGAGGGCCCAUAGUAUAAUUAAAAUAAAAAAGGAAAUUAUGUAUAGCAAAAAUUUCUUGCAUCUUCAGCUUCAUGCAUACAUUUGUGUUUCAUAGUUUUUGAAUGAGGAAGCAGUUGCUGAAGCUGGUGGAUAUAAUAGGAGACAGACGUGCUAAAAAAGGGUGUCCUUCCUUGUUUUGAACAUAGUUUGUAGCACUGGCUUUGUUAACGAAAUUGAGGAACACCCUUUUUCAUAAACAAAAUCAGUACAUACAAUUAUACGAGGAAUGUAGCCAUAUUCACCUCAGGGGUAGUUGAAUGAGUAAGGAAGGACAUUCCCAAGAAAUCAUUAAUACAGUCCUGACCAACUUGGUGGAGUGAGAUCCCAUGAUCACCUUGAAUGAAUCCAAGAGCAACCCAUUGUUGAAUCAAGCUGUCAUGAUCUAUGUUAUGGCUCUUAGGAAAGACAGAGCAAUACAUGAAACAUAGUUUCUGGUGUGAGGGCAUGUGGUAAUAACUUAGCAUCAAGCCACUCAUAAUCCCAUAAUCAUCAUCUUUGAUCUCAAGAAUAUUACUGUCUUUAAGUGCAAUCCAUGCUUCUUUUGUGCAAUGCUUAUUCAUCACGUAACCAAGAGCUUUAGCAACUAGCGGUACUCCACCACAUUUCUUAGCAAUUUCUUCUCCAAUCUUGAUAAGGUCGACAUCCAGCCUAUUUCCUUGCAAUGAAGGAUUCAUAAUAGAAAAACAAUCAUCACUUGAUAAGGCCUCCAAUCUAGUUGGUGGAACGGUAUGAAAUUCUGAAGGUCGGAUGAUAGAUAAUGCUUUAGCAACUUGAUCACUUCGGGUGGUUACUAUUAUCUUGCUCCCUUCCUUACCGUACUGUAACAUUUUCAUCAAUUUCUCCAAACUAUCUCCCCUUUUCUCCCAUAGGUCAUCCAAGACAAUUAAAAAAAUCUUGCCUGAAAGUAUGCGUUGAAGGCAAGAAUUUAGAUUCUGUAGUCUAGUAUCAUUUGCUUGGAGGCUACCUUCAACCUGAGAGAUAAUAGCAGCUACAAUCUUGUUCACAUCAAACUCCAUCGAGACAUGGACCCAUGCUUUGACCUCAAACAUAUUUGUCUCCUUAGCAACAAAAACAGAUUUUGCAAGUGUUGUCUUACCCAUACCACCAAGUCCAACAAUGGGAAUGAUGGAUAUUUUUGCUGGAUCAUCAUUCUGCAAUGCCAAAUUUAGUAUCCUGGUUUUUUCACUUUCUCUUCCUAUCAUCUCAAUUUUAUCACUAGAAACCACAGAUGUUUCUUGGUUAUUCAUGUUCACAGGUCUUGUAUCUGCUAGUUGCAGAAAAUUGAACUUUCUAUGUUCCUCUGCUAUUUUAUCUAGCUCUUCCCUGAUUUUUCUCAUCUUGUUUGACAGGGUGAAGCGUGUGAUUAGUGGAUGGAAUGACAUAAACACCAAUUUAACCUGCAGUAUGUAGUUUGUUACACCAUCAGAAUUUUUUUUAAGUGGGUAUGUGCUGAUUUUAUAUAUUGUUUAAGUAUUAACCGUGCAAUUUUCAAAGCAAAUAUCGUAAUUUCAUAAAAUCAUAAAUUAAUAUUGAGCAUUGACUUUGUGUGAGAAGGCAUAUUGUAAUCUACCCUUAAAAUAGCAAAAAUGUAAUUAUAAAAAAUAGCAAAAAUGAAAGCUAAACGAAUAAAGAAGCACACUUCAUAAACGUUGCAUUAUCUACGCGAAUGGAUAAAGGAUUGCUAAAUGUAAUCGUAUGUAUGCGGCUAGGAAACACAAACCUGUGUCUUAAAAAAAUUUCCAUCACAAGCUUUUUUUACUUCAAAUUCACACCAUUCGAAGAAUUUCAAUUCAAAAUGCUACACAAAAUAUAUAAAAUGUCUAAGCAUAAUUUGUGAAUCUAUAUUAUGUCUUUUAUCUUUUAUGCUUAAGGAUUGACAGACUAAAUCAUGUAAUUAGACAUUUCGAAAGUGAUUUGCAAUAUUGCAUUCAACAUUAUGAUAAGAAUUAGUUCUCAAAAUUGUGCUUGAGACCUGAUGUCAAGAUCAAACAUGAUCACUUUAUUAAAACAUGAUCACUUUAACAUGAUCAAAAUAUGUUUGAUCACUUUAUGAUCAAACAUGAUCACUUUAUGAUCACUUUAUUAAAACGUGAUCACUUUAUUACAAAUUCAUUAAACUUUCAGAUAUGGGAACAAUCUACCAUAAACAAUUUUAAUUAUUAGUCUAUAUGUUAUAAAAAUACAUUUAAGCACUGCAGUUGCAUAACAAAUCAAUAAACACUCAUAAGUUGUAUUUUUAAACCAAGGUACACAGUUGCACUGUCUGCUAUAGCAAUUCCAUCUGUUUACAUAUGCUAAAUAAAAGCUAAAAUGUAGUAGAAUUUUUCACACACAAAAAAAGAAAAUAGCAUGCCAUCGCUGAGCUUUGGUUACUGCUUAGGAAUGCCCUUUCUAUGCGAGGUAGAUGAAGCGAUUUAUUUAAACCUGCACGGUUAAGGAAUAUUAAAUCUAAAAGAAGAAAGUUGUAUACCAUACUAUACAACUUAUUUCAGAUCUAGCCACACUAUCUCAGGACAGUUUGAUAAGUUGACUUGAAAUUAAACAGUGAUGUAAUACUCCAACAAAGAUGUACUCAAACUUAUUAGUUUUUCAUGUUGAUAUGUUGAUGAAAUUUCAAUGUUGCAUGAUUGCAGCAAGCUAAAGUUUCAUGAUAGAUUUUCACCAGUUUCUACCACAACAUAUUUAAGACUAAGGGGGAAAUGAAAAAAUAGGAUAUAGAUGUAUAAUGUGGCACACAAAAUAUUCCUAGAGAGGUAUACUAGCAAUUUUAUCAAAUGAAAUAAGCUCUCUAUAUACAUUCAGAGCUCAGAAUAUAGGUACUACCGGGCAUGUGCUACUCCUCCAUAUCUUUGUAUUUGCCUCCAGCUCAUCAAUCAUGUCUUCAAUGUUGUAGGCAGCAGAUUUGAGCUUCUUGAGCCAAAGCCGGACCGAUUCACUACCUUGGGAGCGUUUCUCAGCAUCCCCCGUCACGGCCUUCACAGUGAUCAAGGUGCCCUUCAUCUCCUCAAAAUCAUCACUGAACCUCUGCAGAAGCUCCACCCUUUCCCAAGCAGCCUGACCAAGCAUGCCAGCCACACGCUGCACAACAGCUCCAGCAAUCAUCUCAGCACCCCCACUCAUGACUAUAGGCCUUGAUCUCUCGCGCACAGGUAUUAUUUGUGCUGCGCCCAAGAUAGCUUAUAGAUAGAACAAAGAUGAUGUGCUCUGCUAUUUAUACUGCUUUCUUUCUUAGCCUGAAGCUUUUGCACCUGAUACCUGGAGUGUAGUGUAGUUGAGUGCUGGGGAUAUCUACUGAAGGCAAAAUGCAUAUAUUCUGAUGCAGAGUUGCACCUUGCAAGCCUCGACCUUUGAGGAAAGGUAUAUGCAUGAUGGCCUCUCAGGAAAGGAACAUAUUAGGUGAAAAAAAGUAAAGAGAAGAACCUCAGAUUAAUUCGAAGAUGUACAAUGAAAAAUGGUAGUUAACAUGAUGCUGAGACCUUCACCUUUUAGUUCAGGAAUGAUGUGGUCCUUCGUCUCUGUGAAGAAAUGAACCUUCGUAAGAAAAGCAUUCUGCAGUUUGCAUUCUUUGAGUAGGACAUACAAAUUGCAGAGAACAAAUGCUGCAUAGCAAGUGCAGGACAUUCAUAAGCCAAGUAUUCUAUCCAGGCUAUGUGAGAAUGCAGGAGCAAAUAGUGGAAUUUGUCAGUUGUCACCUCUUUCUAGUUAAAACCUAUCCAUAAUUCUGAUCGGAGAGUUGAUAUGGACGGCUCGAUUCCAAGGGAUGCGUGAACACCCGACUUCCCGCCCGCCAAUUUGUCACCGCAGCGAUCCGCGUCGAUCUGGGCCGUACAAGCCCGAUCCAGCGUCCUGGACAGGCGUCCACCCCCCUAGGGUCCGAUUGGGAGGCGCCAAUGGCGAUGCCUCCGCCGCCAGCUCACCUGGGGCCAAGAUGGUUCGAAGCGUGUCCCAGCUUCCCAGGGAGAAGUUUCCGUCGACUACCUUCAUCUUCAUCUAGGUGGCCGGCGCCGUCGCGGCGGCGCGGUUUGACGCAGGGCGCGGGCGGGCGGCGAGCCGGCGAGACUGCGAGCCGUGCAGCGCGUGCUGGUGCCUGGUACGGGUGGAGCUAGGUUCUCGCCCAGAUGGACGGGUUCCAUGGUACGGCAGCACGAGCGCCGCCGGAUGCCAAGAUCUCACCACCUAUGGUGUGCUUUGGGGACGGCCGGCCGGAUUGCGCGCGGCGCGCGGCGAUCGGCCUUCGGGAUUAGCAAUCCCUCCGGGAGAAGAACGCGAAAGGAGGAGGUGAAUCCGUGAAUACCGGGCGUAGAACGGCCGUAGGUUCAUUGGAAGCCGGACGGCGUGUUGCCUACCGGCGACAUGCCUGUCGUCUGCCGACGUCCGUUUCCGCUUUGUCUGCUCCCGUUGGCGCUCCAGAUUCCGCUGGCGGCGCCUGCGUGUUUACCGUUGCAGGUGCGAGGCAUCACCCAAUAAAACCAGCAAACAAUACUACCCUCAAACUUGUCAACGUAGGAAUCUACGUUACUUAGGGCAAGUACAUUGCUACACGUCAACGGUCUCAUAGGUCGUCUCAUGCAGUGCCACGUAGGAUUUUUGAUGAUGUGGAGGAGAGAGAGCGAGGAGAGAGAAAGAGGUCGUUGCUUCAUGAAACAACCACCUCAUGAGCUAAAUUGUAGGACUACGAGACAACUUAACAACCAUUGUACGAGUUAUUGUUGCCAUGCAACUCAUAAUAUUUUAUUUUUCUUAUGCACAAAUUAAGAAAUUAUAUACCACUACCAGACAACUUAUAGGAUAACCCAUUGUACAGGUUGCCUGUUAAAUCAUCUCAAGAUUACGUGUCAAUGCAUGAGACCGCCUAUUAGACGACACCAAUGUACUUGCUCUUAGAUUAACUAAAACAGGAUCAUUGACACCCAAAUAUGAACAGAACUUAGGUAAUUGAGUUAGAAGCAUAUCCAACGGCAACAUUAUACGAUGACCCAGACAUUAGAGUCGGGGACAAAGUUGUACUAGCUCGUAGGAGAUCGCGUCGUCCCUCUAGCCUCCACCUCGUUUGGCCAGAGACAGCAAGAGUACCCCGUCGCCAACGCCACCGACGGCCGGAACACGCUGUACCCCGUGGAACUCGCCUCCGUUGUCGGCUCGUGCGCAGCGGACCGCCUCCUGAGAUCGCUCCCCGCGGGCGCCGCCGGCGUCGCGGGCUUCUCCCGGUGUCCGCUCUCCCUGACGUCGCAGCUCUCCUCGCAGCGCGCGUCCGGCAACAAAUUCGACCUGUGCCUGCCGGACUUCGCCUUGUUCGGCAACACGUCGGUGAACCUGGGGCUCCAGUUCCUCCCCGACCUCGCCUCCGUCAUCCCGUACACCCCGCUCGUGAGGAACCCCCGGAACGGCGCUCACUACCUCCCCGUCAAGACCAUCUCGGUGCGCUGGGAUCAGGACGUCGAGGUGUCCAUGCCCCCCGGCGCGCUCGACCUCGACUUCAACACCGGCCGCGGCGGCGUGGUGCUGAGCACGGUGACGCCGUACAUGGCCAUGCGCUCCGACGUGUACCAGAAUAAACGUGUCACGCCAGCAUAUCUGCUCCUCGAUCCAGCAUCUCCAACAAAUUGUAAUUUGUAUCCACGGAUAUCCGCAUCUAAUUAAUCGUUAAGUCAACUCCAACACUUACUUUCCUUCUCCUUUAGCAACGCAAAAUAAAGCCUGAACGUCUCUGCAUAUACAAACACAUAUAACAGGAUCAAACCAUCGAUCUCAAGUUCUCAUUUUCUCAACAACCCAAAGCUCUUCCAGUCGCUAGAAGAUGAGGAAGCACCAUGCCACCUUCGCUGCAACUGCAACCCAGCAUGCAUCCUCUGCAGCUAGCCGUCGCAGUGCGCGCGGCUUCGGCGGCAGGUUCGCGAUGUGCCUCCCGGCCUUCGCUGCAUUCGGCGACACGCCGGUGUACCUGGGGACGGAGUCGCGGGGCCUCGUCGAGUACACGGGCUCCAUCCCGUACGCGCCGCUCCUCGCGAACCCGAGGAACCCCGGCCAGCGGCCACUACAUCCCCGUCAAGGGCAUCUCCGUGAACUGGCACGGCGUGGACGUGGCGGCCUCCCUGCCCAACGGUGCGCUGGAUCUCGACGGCCACACCGGCCGAGGCGGUGUCGUGCUGAGCACGGUCACGCCGUACACCAUCAUGCGGGCGGAGGUGUUCCGCCCGUUGAUCCAGGCGUUCGACGAUGCAAUAACCAGGCUGCAAACCAUGGCGCCAUCAAUUACUGCUACUGAUACUGAUGAGCUGGUACUUAAUUAAUGAGCUGACUGAUACUGAUGAUCAUCUUUGAGCUGAUCGAGAUCAACUCACCUGCAGAGGGAAGAUGACAGAUGUGAAGCGUGUGCCAGCGCUGAAGCGGCCGAUCAGCUACGACGUACCAAGGAUCGACCUGGAGCUGGCCGGCGCCAGAAGCAACUGGACUGUGUUCAAUAACAACUACCUGUGCAGGUGGACGGCGCCAUGUGCGUCGGGAUCCUCGAGAUGGGGCCGGGCGCCAUGCCGGUUGAUGGCGAGCUGGCAAUGGUGAUCGGCGGGAAGACGAUGGAGAACAACCUGCUGGUGUUCGAUCUGGAGAAAGGGGUGCUGGGGUUCAGCAUGUUGUUGGACUUUCAGUUGACCAGCUGCUACAGCUCUAACCUGAGUCGCCUUUGAGCCAGUAACAGAGUGCUGCAGCUUUGUAGGCAAGUGCUGCACUUGUACUCCACCAGCACAAGCUCUGUAGGCAUCUCUGUUUCACGCAUUUUGCAGCAGUAUCAUUGUGGUCCUCAGGCACGAUGCACAACAAAUUUCAGGCCAUCUCUCUCCCUUUUCCCGUUGCCUGUGCUGCACCACUAUGUUUAGAGUCGGAUCCUCACUUGUUAGCUCCAGAUAACUAAUGCUGAUCAAAUGCACUAUGGAUUCAAGAUAAAAUGCAUGAAUUCAUCGACGCAGUUAACAGAUACAACCAAAAAGAAACUCUAUGUAAUGCAAGUUCAUGCAGGCCAGAAUGAAAGCACAGUCGAAUGAAACUGUACCUUAUGCUUUACACAGGCAAGAACAUUUCGACGACACUUUCAGCUUAUGAGGUGGUGGUGCCACGUCGGACCAGCGUGGACGUCCGUGGCGCCACUCCCGGUGGCAGGCGGUGCCAUGCUGAGUACAGUGACGCCGUGCACAACGUCACGGUCAGGUGGCCCGACGUGUUCCUCCCGUCCCCCCGAUAGUUCGACGAGGCCAUGAACAGGUUCUCCUUGCGCUCCGCAAAACAUGGUGUCAUUAUCCAAGUACAGUACCAAAUAGCACUACCUGGCUGAGCUGAUUAGUCAUGCGUCAACUGAACUCACAUGCAAGGGCAACAUGACCGGCGUGAAGAGCGUGCCGCCGCCAGGUCACCGUCGUGAAGGCGGCGGUUGAGCCUUCGAGCUGUUCUACAACGGUUCUUGAAGUGGCCGGUCAGCUAAGACCCUGGAGAGAGCGACCUGAUGGUGUUCCGUAUGAUUAAUUUCAUGAAUGGAAGGGCGUACUUGUUAGCUUCAGAUAAAAUGCUCAAGAUCAAAUAGAUGAAUUCAUCACCGAAGUUAUAUUAAUUGAUACGGUCGGAAAAAAAACUCUUUACCAAUAUUAAUUGAUACGGUCGGAAAAAAAACUCUUUACCAAUUUCAUGCAGGCAAAGAUAUAAUUAAAGAGACUACGAUCAAGAGAAAAAUCUUGGUAACCGUACCUACAUGAUGCUUUACACAGGCAACGACAUUUGGACAGAGAUUUCCGGCUCUCCUUGUAUACAUAAUGCAUAUGGAAUUUGGACAGCUAACCGUCAUUUCAAACAAAAAGCUAACUAUGAUUUGAGAGGCCGGGUAGUAUAUGGUAGAUCCUUGACAGCCCUCAAGGUGGCCUGCCAAAAAUUGAAAAUAAAAAAUGACUCGAGACUUUAGAAAUUCAUAUUUAGGGGGUGUUUGGCUCAGGGGGCUAAAGUUUAGCCCUGUCAUAUUGGAUGUUUAGAUACUAAUUAGAAGUAUUAAAUGUAGUCUAAUUACAAAAGUAAUUACACAGAUGGAGUCUAAUUCAUGAGACGAAUCUAUUAAGUCUAAUUAGUCCAUGAUUUGACAAUGUAGUGCUACAAUAACCAUUUGCUAAUGAUGGAUUAAUUAGGCUAAAUAGAUUCGUCUCGCGAAUUAGCCUAGGGGUUCUGCAAUUAGUUUUAUAAUUAGUUCAUGUUUAGUCCUCAUAAUUAGCAUCCGAACAUCUGAUGUUACAGGACUAAACUUUAGCCCCUGGUAUCCAAACACGCCCUUGGUCACCAUUGACUAAUUUGUCCGCACAAUCGUUAGCCAAGUCACAGAAAUUAAAGAAAAGCAUGCACUGUAAGUUAUCUGGUAGAAAAGAAAACAGCAUCGAUAAGGAGGUUCUCACCAUGCUAGAUGAGGUGUGAAGCUUCUUUUACUCGAAUUUGACUUCUGGAAUAUGAGCGAUCUUGUGCUUGUCCUCUCCUUGGCACUUCUCUGACAGUGCUAGGCAGUUGGCGAUCCGCAGUUUCUUUAACCCAGUAAGACGCUGUAUGCUUUCUGGCAGUGAAGAUAGCAUUGGGCAUGAGCCGAUUUCAAUUUGUCUCAAAGAAGUUAAAUCUCCCAGCCAUUCUGGCAGCGUCUCCAAGUCAUAACAGUCCUCUACCAAGAAUACCCGGAGGGAGAUGAAAGAUCGGAUAACCUCUGGCAAUGUUGUAAGACCCGUGAGGGAGGACAGAACAAGGUUCUCGAUAGAACAGAGAUACCGGGCCCUAUGCCACGCUUCAGGAGAAGGGGAUGUGCCCGCUAUCAAAAGGAAACAUGGAGAAGUGAUAGAUGAGAGGUUCCCAAACCCAUGUUCCGGAAAAACGUGAUUGCUAUUAUAUACCGCCCAGGUCACGCUCAUCGGCAGCAAUCAGCAGAUGUAAAUUAGGGAUUAAGAACUCUUCAUCUUCAUUAGACGUUCUCGUUGUCCACCACCCUUCCAAGUUGUCCAUUCCCUCCAAAAGAAUCAUUCUUAGCUUCGAGCAACUUCCGUGGUCCCCAUAAAAUUCCCUCCCGACACUUUUGAGAUUGGGCAUUCUACCCAAGCCCAAUGCUCUCAAAUUUGGCAGGCGCCCAAGUGGAGGGAGGUGGCUGCACCCUUCCAGAUUGGAAAGAACGAUGGUGGAAAGAUGAGGUAGGUAGGAAGGAAGCUCCAGCAUCCACCUAGAGAAGUCUACGCUCACGUAACCAUCAAGAUGAAGGUGUCCGAGAUUUCUAGGAGGCACAAGCUUCUCCAGCACCGAUUUGUCAACCGAUGCAUCUGCAUGCUCCACCAUACUACUUUCACCAUGUCCCCAUGAAAGCCACAGACUCGUAAGAUUUGAGUUGUUCAACAGUUUUGCCUGGUCUGCCCCUUCCAGAUUCUUGACAUUCUUAAGACCUUUGAUCUGCAGCUCAAGGCAGGGUGUCUUCUCGAGCUCUAAAAUUUGACUCCAUAGAUCACCACGUCCAUCAAGCACACAUGACCUUUCCAGGUUUAGUUGUUCCCUAAGUUUAUCAACUUCAGAACGUAUAUGGAAUGCAAAAAGUCCUCUUUCGACAUGUACAAGUGUAGACAUGUUAAAAAUGCUAUCCGGCAAGCCAACAAGGAAAAAGCAGCCUUGCAGAUCCAAACUCUGAAGUCGUAAAACACCAAUAGAAGCAGGCAGAUGUCUAAGUUUUACACAGAACGACAAAUUUAGGUGCUUUAACAUCAUGAGUUUGCAUAGAGACUCGGGCAACAUUUGAACCUUGGAACAGCUUGUCAUGUUCAGAUACUCAAGCUUAGAAAGUUGAUCAAUACAAUCUGGGACCUUUUCAAGAUUAUGGCAAUCUGACAGCUCAAGAUGUGUUAGAUCAUGAAGUUGACAGCAAGAUUCUGGUAGUGAGUGGAGUUUGUAGCAAUCGGAUAGGUUCAAAAACUGAAGCUUAUGCAACUUGCCAAAGGAUUCUGGAAGGGUAGGCAGUUCAUGGCAGCUUGCCAAGUUUAAGAAGAGCAAAGCACUGAGGUUACCGAAAGAGGUGGGAAGUUCAUGAAGGUUGACACAUCCUGAUAGGUCAAAGUAUUGCAGCUU
rnacentral:lncRNA from 1 species